AACUUUGUUUCAUCUACUUCAUUACUUUCGAAAUCUCUCAACAAAAAUGGCAUCUUUCAAUUGCUUUGCUUUAGCAUUCUUGAUGGCUUUGUCAUUUGCAAGCAUUGAUGUUGGGGUAGCAGCUCGUCACCUUCUGCAGCAGCCUCAAACGCCAAGUUUGUUAAAAAUAACAUUCCCACCAUUGCCAUCUUUCCCUAAACCAUCAUUCCCAAGGCCAUCCAUACCAUCAUUCCCAUCCAUACCAUCAUUCCCAAAGCCAUCCAUACCAUCAUUCCCAAGGCCUGGGGUGCUUCCUCCACUUCCUUCCAGACUUCCAAGUCGACCAAAGGCCACACUGCCCCCUCUGCCAAGCAUUCCCUCAGUCCCCCAAAUCCCAACUGCAAUUCCCUCUAUUCCUUUCUUUUCUCCACCACUUUCUCAUUCUACUCCUUGAAGUACCCCCUUUUUUUUUAUCUGCGGCAUACUGGAUCUGGCUUAAUAAGGUUUUUAGUCGUCUUUGUGUCUUUAUUNNNNNNNNNNNNNNNNNNNNNNNNNNNNNNNNNNNNNNNNNNNNNNNNNNNNNNNNNNNNNNNNNNNNNNNNNNNNNNNNNNNNNNNNNNNNNNNNNNNNNNNNNNNNNNNNNNNNNNNNNNNNNNNNNNNNNNNNNNNNNNNNNNNNNNNNNNNNNNNNNNNNNNNNNNNNNNNNNNNAGGAAAAGAAUCAAACGAUAAAUGCAGUCAAGAUAGUGAGCAGCCGUACAUCGAGAAGAUGCCACUGUUAAUAUAAUGAUUCCUGCUUCAUUACCUCUUCCAAGUUAUCCAUUUACAUACGAUUACUUUCCUCUUUCAAUAUAUUUCCAAGAUAAUAUUUUAUAUGAAUGUCAAAUUAUGAAUAGGGGCGAAGUCAGAAAAUGCUUUUAAGGGUCGAAAUUAAAUAACAGUUUUUAUGAUAGUAAAAAGGUAAUUUUACUAUUUUAAUAAUCUAUAUCUUUAUAAUUUUUAAAGGACUAAAUCAAAUUUUUAUAAUUUUUAAGAGGGNNNNNNNNNNNNNNNNNNNNNNNNNNNNNNNNNNNNNNNNNNNNNNNNNNNNNNNNNNNNNNNNNNNNNNNNNNNNNNNNNNNNNNNNNNNNNNNNNNNNNNNNNNAGCACGCCCCUAGUACUAAACAAUGUUUUUAGAAUUAGACCAUUGAUCAAACUAAUCAAAUCAUGAAUUCUUGAUCCAAUUGAUUUAAUCAUCAAUCCAAUUGAUUUACUGUUGAAUAAUGUAAAAUAAUAAUUAUUAAAAACCCUAAUUAAGUUCAUCUAUUUUGGACCAGGCUUUGAGUUUUUAAAACCUAAUAAACCCAUCUAUUUUAGGCCUGUAAUAAAAAGAAGAAAAAGAAGAAGCAUAAUAUUUUAGUAGAGAAAGUAAGACAUAAAGUGGUGCUUACUUUUUUUAUAUUGUCUUUGAGUGGUGCUUAUUUUUUUUUUAUAAUGUCUUUGAUUUCAUUGAGUGCAGAGAUAAAGUGCAACAAAACUUUAAUGGAUUUGGGGCGAAAUUCUUGUUUUUCUAAUUUAGAAAAUAUGAAAAAUUGGAUCAAUUGGUUGGAUAAGUUGACAAUUUGCAGUUUAACUGCAGUUCACUCCAGUUCCCAAGUUAAUUGGUUCUUUCUCUUACUCUAGACUAGUAUACUAGUCGGUUCUUGGUUUGUCCGGUCCGACUGACCGAUCCAAUCUAGUUUCAAUGACAUUGAGGAACACCUAACACCUUUUUUCUGAACUGGUGAAAAUUCUGGUCCAUACCGGUUGUACUAGCUUAUUCCGAUCAAUUCCAGUCGCACUGGAUGGAACAUAGUGCAUCAUCCAGUGCAUGAAUAAUAUUAGAAAAUAUAAAACUUUUAAAUUGUUAUUGUUAUGCUAAGACUUAAUUGGAACGUGACUAAUUAAAAAUGUUGCAUCAAAAUGUAAGAUUUUAAAAAAAAUUUGGGACAAUAUGUUCACAUUUAAAAUAUAAAAACGAAAACAACACAUCUAAAACCCUUAAACCCUCUCUGCUCCCAAGAGUGCUUUGCUUAAAAGUCCUAGAGAUAGCAGUAACUGCUGCGGCUUGGGAUGGAAGAAAGUGGUGGCGAUGACCGAGAGGGGAGGAAUGAGAUCUCUCUUCUUGCCGAAGAACUAGUUCAGUUAUCAGUAAAGGGCUCGAUGGUGGUACCAAGUUCUAAACCUACAUUGAUAUGUAUAGUUUGGAUAGAAAAGCUAUAUANNNNNNNNNNNNNNNNNNNNNNNNNNNNNNNNNNNNNNNNNNNNNNNNNNNNNNNNNNNNNNNNNNNNNNNNNNNNNNNNNNNNNNNNNNNNNNNNNNNNGUAUAUGGAAGACAAGGAAAAAGUUUGAGACUCAGAUAGUGGGACAAAACUUAUUUUUAAUAAUUUUUGAGAUGGAAGAAGAUCUGGAGAUGAUUUUGGAGGGGAGACCAUGGCUCUUUCGUAAAAGUAUAAUUCUAUUUGAUAAAUUAUGUCAAGCUGUGGAAAGAGAUCAAAUCGGGCUUAUUUCAUCCCUGUUUUAGAUAAAAAUUGACUCGUGUUUCCCAGAGUUCGACAAGAAAGAUCUAUUGCAUGCUAUUGGUGCCACGUUUGGUGGGGUUCUUAGAUCUGAAAUUAAUGAAGAAUUUUGUCAGCUCAGAAUUAAUUUGGAUGUCCAGAGACCAUUCAGAAGAGGUAUCUUUGUCUCUACUGAUUAUGUUAGUAAAGUAUGGAUUCCUUUUAAGUAUGAAAAUUUGCCAAUGUUCUGUUUUGGAUGCGGAAGAAUGGGGCAUGGGAUGAGUAAUUGCACUCAGACAUUACCUGCAAGGAAAAACAAAAUUAGUGAAAAUCCUCCUUAUUCGUUGGCCUUAAAAGCAGAAUCAAAAUUAAUCGGAAAUGAAACUAUGAAAUUUAAUAGUUUGUUGAAGCAGGUGGGGGUUCAAAGUUUUUAUACUGGAGGGGAAAGAGUGUCGCCAAAUAAUAUAAAAAGUGCUGAGAGAGGGAACAAUAAGGUGGGGGGCUCAUAGGAAAAUUUGGAACUGAUGGGAGUGGGGGAGAUGCUAAAAGAGCAGGAUUGUUUUUCGGGGUUAAGGGAAGCUGAGAAGUUGAGCGAUUGUAUUAGAAAAAAGGGUCAAAAUCCAUAUCAUGAGAAGAAGGUAAAUUGGACAUGAACACAGGCUGGCGCAAUGAUAAUACCAGCAAAAGCCGAAAAUAAUAUGAGGAAUAGGAAGUCCCUAGAUGCAGAUCUUAAAAGCUGUUAUAAAGAAAAUGUUGACAGAGAUGGAUUUAAAAGGCUGAAACAAGAAACUUCAGAAGAUUAUGACAAAGGCCAUUCAGAGAUGAUGGCAGACAAUUAUGAGCAACUUGAUGGUCAAGACUUAAAGAGAUCGACGACUGCCAGCAAGCAAGCUGACCUGGCACAAUGAAAAUUAUAAGCUGGAAUGUUCGUGGAUUUGGGAGUCCACGAACAGGAAGAAGGCUGCGUUACUUCCUAAAGCAGCACAAUCCCCAAAUGGUCUUCCUAAUGGAGACUAAAAUUGAUAAACAAAGGAUGGAAAAAGUUAGACGAAAUUGCAGUUUUAUGAAUGGAAUUGAUAUUAAAGCAGAGGGCUCGAGAGGAGGAUUAUGCUUUGCAUGGAAAGGAGACACUAAAGUUAGUUUACAAAGUUUCUCUAGGAAUCAUAUUGAUGUUUUGAUUAAAGAGGAACAAGUUAAAGAAGAGUGGAGAUUUACAGGGUUCUAUGGCUCUCCAUAUGUCCACAAUAAGAGUGAUUCGUGGGAUCUGUUGAUAAAACUGGGGUAAGAUAAGGAUUACCCAUGGUUCGUAGGUGGUGAUUUUAAUGAGAUCAUGUAUUCUUUUGAGAAAUGUGGGGGUGUCCCAAGGGAUAAGAGCAGAAUGCACGUAUUUCGAGAAGUCCUAGAAGAUUGCUAGGUUUACAUGGGAAAUAGGAAAUCUACCGGAGAUAAAUAUUAAAGAAAGACUCGAUAGGGGUGUGAUAAAUGAUAAAUGGAGGUUCCUUUUUCUGACAGGUAGCGUAAACCAUCUACCUCACACGAUGUUCGAUCACUGUCCACUUCUAAUUAAUACAAAUGGUGAAAGCAUUCAUAAGGGCAACUCAAAAUUUAAAUUUGAGGCUUGGUGGCUGAUGGAAGAGACGUGUGAGAAAGUAAUCAAAGAAUGUUGGGAGUCAGGAACAGGCACAGUAGUUGAGAAACUUGGAAAAUUACAAGCAGACUUAAUGGUAUGGAUGAGAAUGAUUAAGAAAGGACGAGAAGGACUAAAGAAAAAACUAACGAAGCAACUUGAUAUGAUAAUGGGAAAAGAAAGGAAUGACAACACGAUAGCAGAAAUUAUUGACACUAAGAUCCACCUGAAUAUGAAAAUUGAUAAAGAUGAAGUGUAUUGGGAACAAAGGGCAAGGGCAAAUUGGCUUAGAGUAGGGAUAAGAACUCAGUCUUUUUUCACAGUUUUGCUACAUGUCGAAGACGUAUAAAUACAAUAUCCAAGUUGGAGAAAGAUUAAGGAGGAGAAGCUAAUGAAGAGAGUGAGAUUAAUGAAGUAGCUACCUCCUAUUUUCAGAAGCUCUUCACGUCAAAAGGAGCCGAGGAUUGUUCCUAUCUCUUAACGGGAAUAAAGGAAAAUAUUUCGAUAGAUAUCAAUAGAGAGCUAAUGAUAACUUUUACAGCAGAAGAAGUGCUUGCGGCAUUGAAGGGAAUGGGACCUACAAAAGCACCAGGACAUGAUGGUUUUCCAGCAAUUUUCUUUCAAAAAUUUUGGCAUAUUGUAGGUAAGGAAACAACAAAUCUCUGUUUGGAUAUUUUAAAUAACAGUGCAAGUUUAGGUAAUUUAAAUCACACGGACAUUGUGCUGAUCCCAAAAACCACAAAUCCCAUAAGCAUUGCUAAUUUUAGACCUAUCAGUUUAUGUUUAGUCAUUUAUAAAAUGGAUGCAAAAACAAUUGUAAACCGAAUGCAAGUAGUUAUUAGAAGAUGUAUUAAUGCGGCUCAAAGUGCGUUCGUUUCGGGAAGGCUAAUAACUGACAAUGUGCUGCUAGCUUAUGAGAUCUUGCAUACUUUUUGAUAUAAGCGCAUAGGAAAAAAAUGAUAUAUGGCAGUAAAGCUUGAUAUGAGCAAAGCCUAUGACAGGGUUGAGUGGGGAUACUUGAAGGAAGUGAUGUUACGAAUGGGUUUCACAUCCGAUUGGGUGAAGCUGGUUAUGAAUUGUGUUUCCACAACGUCCUAUGUAGUUAAUAUAAAUGGAAGAAGUGAAAGAAUCUUUUCACCGUCUAGAGGCCUACGCUAGGGAGACCCGCUAAGCCUUUUUUUAUUUCUAAUAUGUAGUGAGGGAUUAAUAAAAGGUACAAAAGCCAGUAAAAGAGAACCAGAAAUUUCACACUUACUUUUUGCAGAUGACUGUAUUUUGUUCGGGGAAGCAUCAGAUAGGGGUGCCAGGGUACUAAAAGAAAUUUUGAAGGAAUAUGAAAGGUGUUCUGGGAAAUGUGUUAAUUUCAAUAAAUACACCAUCUUUUUAGCACAAAUACGUCCGAAGAAAAGAAGGAAGAAGUUUCGGCAAUAUUGGGGGUAAAGAUCUCAACAAACUUAGAACGAUAUUUAGGGCUUCCGAACGUGGUUGGUCGACGUAAGAAAGAAUCCUUUCAGCAGUUAAAAGAAAAGAUUUCUACUAGGAUUGAUGGGUGGAGUACCAGAAUGUUAUCUCAAGGAGGUAAAAAAGUCUUUAUUAAAUCGGUGCUACAGGCCAUUCCAACCUAUGCAAUGUCGUGCUUCUUAUUACCAAAGACUCUUUGUGGAGAAUUUGAAAAUAUAUUUUCUGAAUUCUGGUGGCAGAAAGCGCAUGGAAGAAAAGGUAUUCAUUGGUGUCAAUGGAAGUACUUAUGCCGUCCUAAAGAAGAUGGUGGGUUGGGCUUUAGAAAUAUGGCUCAAUUCAAUAUCUCACUUUUAGCUAAACAGAGGUAGCGAAUUUUGAACAAUCCAAACUCUUUAGUAGCACAACUCUUAAAAGCAAAAUAUUUUCCAAAAGUUGAUUUUUUAAAUUCACAGUUGGGGAAUAACGUUUCGUACACAUGGAAAAGCAUUUGGGCUACUAAGGGCAUUUUAGAAGAGGGAUUGUGUUGGAAGGUGGGUAGAGGUACGAAUAUUUCGAUAACCCGUGAUUAUUGGAUUCCAGUUUUACCGCGUGGCAGAUUAACAGGUUUGAAUGAUUUUAAAGUUGCGGCGUUAAUUGAUUCAAGUAGUAGAACAUGGAAAAAGGAGUUGAUAGCGUAUACCUUUCCGGAGGAUGUUGCCGAGAUGAUCCUCAGUAUCCCACUGGCAGAAAGACCACAGGAAGAUUUCCAAGUCUGGAGUACUGAAGCGUUGGGUGAGUACACAGUACGUAGCGCCUAUAAACUAUUACAAAGUACUGAAGAUGAUCCUAGAGCUUAUGCUUUACAAACCGACUAUAAGGACUUUUACAGAAAACUAUGGCUACUAGAUCUUCCUUCAAAGAUAAAAAUUACAGCUUGGAAGAUGUCAUGGAAUUUCCUAGCUACAUGUGUUAAUAUGCUACUUAGAAGGCUAACAAACACAUCAGUAUGUCCCUGAUGUGGCUCAGGAACAAAAACUAUAGACCAUCUCUUCCGUGAAUGUUCUGUUUCAACAUCAGUGUGGAGAGAGUUAUCAUUUCAUAAGUAUUUGCAAGAUAACCAGUUGGGGUUUCUACAGUGGCUAACCUGGGUUUUUUCACAAAGUUCGGCAUCCCAGUGUCGGAUUUUUUGCGUUGCAUUAUGGGCUAUCUGAGGAGACAGGAAUAAUAGAGUGCAUAAAAAAUGGAGUAAAUCUGGGAAAGAAAUAGGGAGAUUUGUUCAUAGCUACAUAUCAGAGUUAAAUAGGAUUAGUAAAAAUAGACCACUAACUUCUAUACCUGUUAAAAAAUGGAAAAAGCCAUCUGACCAGGUUGUUAAGAUCAAUUUUGACGCAGCAUAUGAAGGUAGACAAAAUAAAGCGGCUAUUGGAAUAGUGGCCAGAGAUAGAGAGGGUACAGUUCUCCUAUCAUGCUCGGAGGUCUGCCAACGGGUUUUAUCAGCCUUUGCGGCGGAGGCACUUGCAUGUCGAAAAGCACUCCAGACCGGCGUUUACAUGCAGUAGGAAAAGGUUAUUAUUGAAGGAGAUUCUUUAUCAAUAAUAAGGAAAUGCAAAGCAAAAAGCCCAGACAAAUCAAUGGUUAGAGCGUAUAUUCAUGACAUUCAUCAGCUACUGUUAAAUGUUAAGGAUUUUAGGUUUGAGCAUGUCCCAAGAUUAGCAAAUAGUCUCGCGCAUAUCUUAGCAACUGAAGCGUUGAAGAGUAAUAAAGGAGAUUACCUGGUCGGAAGAGUCCCUGAAGUUGCAGAAAGACAAGCGGAAAAUGAAAGGGUGAGAGAACCAGAUUGAAAUAGGAAAGGGGAGAAAUGGAGGGAGGGGAGUCUGAGAAGGGCAGGUAACAAAGUGACUAAAGCAAGCCCUUGGGUAAAUUGAAAACGUCUUGAAGAAGUAAAGAAAGAUGAAAAGACAAGACGUUUAUUUUCCUGUGAGCAGGUAGAACGGCAGCAUUAAUUGCUUCAGACUUUUGUUUCCUUUUUUUGGUUUCUAAACGAUUAGGUUUCCAUUUAAUUUUGUCUUAGCAUUAAUUGCUCUUUCUCUUUUCUUUUUAAGACUAUAUGUAUAGUAAUGCAGGUUAUUUAAAUAAAGCCCAAUCUGAAAUUUUAGUUCAAAAAAAUAUAUAAAAACUAAAAUAUGCUUAAUUAAAAAUCAUUCACCCGAUUAUCAAAAAAAAUAUUUGUUCACUUUUCAGCUUCUUUAUCAAGGGAACGAGCUAAUCCUUAAAAUUUCAUAUCCAAUGAUGGAUUAUUAUUAUUAAUUUUGGAUUUAUUUGAAUGAUAAAUUUUUAUGUGUUGAGUUUAUUAAUGAGUAAUUUAUAUAAUUAAUGAAUAUUUUAUACUUAAAAUUUAUUUAGUUUCAUUCAUUUGAUAUUUGUAAUAUAUUUAUAUAUAUUGAGUAUUUUUUUUAAAAAUAUUGAUAAAUCUAAAAUAAUACGUAUCAAUUUCAAUAAAAAAAUCAUGCGUCUACUAAUACGGUACUGAUUACCCUGUAUUAAACAUUAAUUAUUAAAAAAAAAAGGAGAAGAUCAAAUAACAUAAAAAUAGAAAUAGGUUUUAGCAAUGAAAUUAUAUUUGAAUAAUACUUUGUCACUAGGUGUAAUUUAUUGACCGACUUUACAUGUAUUUAAUAUGACAUAAAAAAAAUUAUGUAAAAUUUUGGGAUGGAAUAUUUUAUUUUUUGGGUUUGGAUUAAAAAAUUAAGAGAUAAAUAUUAAAAUUAUGAUAUAAUGUGUAAUUAUAUACAUGAAUUUUGAUUUUUUAUAAUUUUAUAUUUUAAUUUGAUUCAGUUCUUGUAAAUUAUUAACACAAUUAUUGAUAUAACAUUAUUUUAUAUUUAUAUAUUAUAUAAAUAAAUAAUUAUAUUUAUCCAAUAUAAAAAUAAAUUGAAGUAUCUUUUUCUUUAAAUGUGUAUAAUUAAAUCAAAAUUAAAGUUUUAAGUAUACAUUUUAACCACAAUUAGAGUUUCAAGUAUAUAAUUACUGAAAUUAAAAUUCAUACAUACAAUUACAAAUUAUAUUGAAAUUUAUAUACAAUUUUAAAAUUUAUACCAAAAAUUAAAUCCAAUAUAUAAUUAUACUUGAGGUGAUAAAAGAAAUCAACAUCGUCGUAUUAUCGCCUUUAAACAAGUGUUUCAGGAUUCGAGAAUGUUAUAAAAUAAAAUUCUUCAAAUUGGCGUUAUUCCAAGGCAAGACCCCUACCACCUCAAUGGGUUGUCUAGCUUCCAACUUCUUCCUCGUAAGCAACUCAAUGCCAACUAAGAGGCAGAUUUUUAAAUUUUGACUUAAAAAGCAAAAGCCUGACUCAAACUCAAUUUAUUAUAAAAGAAUCCAAAUUUAAAUUUACUUGAAUCAAUCUAAACUUAAAAUAUUUGAUCACAAAACAAUUCGAACUUGAAAUAACUAAAACUUAAAAUAAUUUGAAUCAAAAAUGAUUAGACAUAAAAAAAUUUAGCCUCGAAUUUGAAUGAUUUGAACGUAAAAUAAGACAAAUCCAAAAAUAAGGUAAACCCUAUUGGAAGUUUUUGUGUAUUUUAAAGAAUUACACAUAUUCCAUAUCCUUUAGAUACACCUAUUAAAUAAUGUUUAUAUAGAUUUAGUUUGUUGUAAACUUGUAAGACUCAAAAUAAGAGAAUAUGUAUGCAUAGCACGAGGCUUCAGCCUAAUAGCUAAAUUCCGUUCAAAUGGGUAAAUUUUCCCAAUUUUUUCAUUGCUUGUGAUGCAAGUUAAAUACUGAGAGAUACGUAAAUAUGUGAAUAUCUUUAAGGACAGUCAUAUGAAAUUUUAUGUUGAUUUAGUCAUUAUAGGUUUUGAUUAUUUCAGAUCUCGAUCACUUCAAAUUUAAGUCAUUUCAAAUUAUUUUGUUUGUCAUUUCAAAAUUCUUGUUUAAAACAUUUCAAUUCCAAGUCAAAAUUAAUAAGUCUUUACAAAUGUGUAUAUUAACACCCAACAAUUUUAAGCUCAACCAUGGCAAAUUUAUUUAUAUAAUCAACUUUGAAAUACGAGUAUCAUACCUGACAUGUUAAGUAAACAAAUCCUAAUUCUGUUAGAUAUCUGGCCAACUAGCGAAAACUUUGCUAACCUGGAGGAUUGUUUAAGUAUACUGUUUAAUUAAGUGGCUGGAUGAAGCUUCUAUGCCAACCACAACAGCAUUCCACCCGUUUUAAACUCCAAUACCCAUGGGAAGUUGACCUACCAAAUCCUUUAAUAUUGACUAUGUUUUCUCCAUUCCAACCAUACAUGAUCAAACAUUACCAACUCCACUGAUCCAAGACCUAUAUAAACCCCACCACCAUGCUUUCUCUCCCUCACUCCACAACUAUCAAAACAAGAGCUUUCUUUCGUCUGCUUAAUUGGACUCACAUCUCUAGAAAAAUGGCAUCUUUCAGUUGCUUUGCUUUAGCAUUCGUGAUGGCUUUGUCAUUUGCAAGCAUUGAUGUUGGGAUAGCAGCUCGUCACCUUCUGCAGCUGCCUCAAUUGCCUCCAAUGCCAACUUUGCCUACAACCACACUCCCCCCACUGCCAUCUAUCCCUAAUCUCCCACAGCCAUCCAUACCGGUAUUGCCAAGGCCUGGGGCGCUUCCACCACUUCCUACCAUGCCUGGGUUGCCCACAUUGCCAAGUGUACCAAGGGCCACACUGCCUCCUCUGCCAAGCAUGCCCACAAUCCCAACUGCAAUCCCCUCUAUUCCUUUCCUUUCUCCACCACCUUCUCCUUCUACUCCUUGAAAUACCCUUUUGUUUAUCUGCUGCAUACUGGAUUUGUUUUAAUGUGUUUUCAGUAGUCUCUUGAUUUUGAGUAUUGUAUGUUCUUUUUUUCACCACAUAUAUUUGUUUGUAUAAAUGGGAGUUUCCCAAAUCCCAUUAUUUCUUGUGCUUGAAAUUUGUUGUACUUUGAUACGUUAUUACUUAUAUGGGAUAUAUAUUUGGGUCCCAACUAUAAAAAAUGUUGAUUUUGGAACUCCUCAUCAUUUUUUUAAAUUCGUACAAUCUCUUGUUAUUCUCUCUUAAAAAAUUCUUGGCCAGCGAAAUCCUCAAAAGUAACACCAGUUCUUUCCUCCGCUGAUAUGAAUCUUGAGAAAAACUGGUUAAAGGCAGUAAAGUUAGAGGCUGGUAGAAUGAUUUUGUUAUCGAACUCCCAAAACUACAUUCACCACAUUAUCACAUAAACUCAUUCUAACCCAACAAUUAAAAACCUUACGGAAAGAACGAUCCAUUACGAAAUAUUCAUCAAACAGUGAAGUGAUAAUUACUAUGUUUAAAAUUCUAUUUAAAUAAUUAUUUUAUUUUAAUUAAUAAUAGUAAAUUAUAAUUAUAUUUAUCACAUUUUCCCCUAUAUUUUAAAAGUAGCACGACUAAUUAUAUUUAAAUGUGUAAUUGUCACAACUUUUAUUAAAUUAUAAUUAUUUUUAAAUGUAUCACUUCUAUUUCAUUUCAACUUUUGUAAGUAAUAAUAUUAAUUUAAAUAUUAUAAUUAUUUUUAAUUGUGAAUUUAAUAAUAUGAUAGAAAAUAAAAAAUAUUCUCAUCAAUUAAAAAUAAAUUUCAAACUCGUACUUUUAUAUAUAUUAUAGAUUAAUAAUAUGUGAAGUAGUAUACUUCGAUAAACCUCCAUGUUAACAAAGUUUCCCUAACAUGCACAACAAUAGUACUUUCGAAGCUGAUUAUAUAAAGAAACUAUGUAAUCUACACAUUCCCUUAUAGACCUUUCCUACUAUGUCCCCUAAUCAAUUAUAUACAUAUAUGCUAGAGUAAAUUUCUUAAAAAUGCCGACUUUUUAAAAAAUUACUAGAUUAGGCUGAUUUUUGGAAAAAUUACGUGAUUAGACUAAAAAAAAGAAAAUGCUUCCUACUGAAAAUAUUUUCAGCGGAUUUGCAAAAAAAAAACGCUUUCAACUAGACACGCUUUCUGUCACAUCCAUUGAAAACGCUUCCAACUGAAGGUGUUUUCCUUCUGGGUUUAGGGUUUUUUAGGGCAAGGGUUUUGGUUUUUGUUAAAGUAGGGUUAGUGUUAGCAUUUUGCAGGUCUUUGUGUUUUAUAGUUUAGGGGUUUAGGGUUUAAGGUUUAAGGUUUUUUUAUAUUUUUUAAGUUUUUUCUAUAUUCUUUAUACUUUUUAUACUUUUUUGAGUUGUAAAGUUAAUAAUUAUUUAAUUUGAUAUUUACAAAAAUUGUAUAUUCCAAUUAUUUGAAUUGUAAAAUUUAAUUCGAUUCAAAAUUGAAACUCGAACUACUCGAUUCGGUUAACUCUUAGUUUGUAAUUUUUUUCGAAUACAAUUGAGAUUUGAUCACCCGUAGCUUACGGGAGGUUGAGCUCAAUCAGAUUUAUUCAGAAAAUAUUAUCUUGGGAAUCUCGGGAAUCUGAUGGGUGAGUGGGAAAUUGGAGGAGUUGAAAGUAGUAAAGGGAAAACACUCUACAUAGGACACGUUUUCAAUGCAUUGUUAGAAAAAUGCACUGAAAGCACACCCAGCACAUCAGAUUUAACUUGCAGUCAAAUCGCUAAAAAACUAACAUUCUAAAAUUGAAGUAACGUUGAAGAACCUUCGACACCAAACCUUUAAAUCGAACUUACUGGCCAAUGAAUCGAACUAGAAAGGAGAAGUCAGACCUCGUAUAGAAUCAAUGUAACAUAACAUAACACAAAAAGAAAGGAACUUAAAACGGUGAAACUGAAUCAAUGAAGAAGGAAGCAAAAAUGGUCACGUUAGAAAAAAAAUGAAAUAAUAUGAAAAGAAAAGGAAGUUUUUGUUUUGGGAAAGUUUAAUCAACUAAAAUAAACGACCCUAUAAGGUAGUUUAGUAAAAAAUAUCUUUGUAGCUUUUGCUGAGACUUGAACACAAGACCAAAGGGUAUACAGACACUUAACCAUUGAACCAGAAAGCUCAUUCUUAAUAUCAAUUGACUGAGUUUAACUUAUAGCUAACAUUCAAAAGUAAGGGUUUAAGCAAAAUGACAAAAUUUCCAGAAACAGGAGUCAAACCCAGAACCUCACACACAUACCAAGAACACUUAACCACUGAACCAAAUCAAUUUACUUAUUAAGAAUUUCCAAAGUCUAAACUCAAAUUGAGGGAUGACCUCUUUUGGUUUCAAAACGCAAUUUCUUCUAAGCCGGUUUUUGGGAUGUUACAAUUCAAGCUGUAUAUCAGCCUUUUCGUCUUCAUCGUUACGUCUACACUGGCGUAUAGGUUGUAAUCUCAGCCUCUCAUCUUCUUUGCCUUCAUUCGUGGUUGAUUAUAGAGUGCUCCUCAAUUGCCAUCGUAUAUCCUCCGCUCUAGGAAUAAAUGGUUGCAAAGAUGGGUGUUUGCGACACCAUCGACGUAUGUAUAAAACUAUAUUGUGUCCCAUACACCGAUGAUAAAACAAUCAGACUUUCGGUUGGUGCCCCAAACAUAGAUGGCCUAUAUGCCAUCUUCGAAAUCGUCGUCGUUUGAAACAUCGAUUUCAUUGGUGUGUAAUAUGCCGAAGAUGGAAGUGGUGGUCCAAAAAUAAAACCUGGCAUCGAUGUAGAAAUAGACAAAUGUUAUGCAAGAUGUGGUGCUUGUGUAAAAAUGACGGGGUUAGUAAAGCACCAGAAUAAGUCAAACCAUAUUGAUCGGGGGUGGUGUGUAACGCCUCAAAAUUUUAAUUUUAGGUAUUGUGAAUUUGUGACACAAACAUCUGUCAGCUUUGGUGGUUAUAUGUUCUGGGAGUGUUUGGGAGGUCCCAAGUUCAAGCCAGGACUUGGGAAAAUUUUGAUAUUCUUAUGAAUAAGCCCUAUCCUUGGUCAGUAGGUUUUUAAGAAAAAUUUGGCAAAUACUUAACAAAAUGAGCUUGCUGGUCUGGUGGAUAAGUGGAAUGUUGGUGUGAGGGAGGUCAUGGGUUUGAAUCUUUGGGACGGCAAAGGUUGUAUUUUUACUCCUAAUUUCGGCAAAAGUUGUGUUGAACUGGGUUUCUGAGUGGUGGAUGUGUAGUGGGAAGUGAGGGAGCGAUUUUAGGAGUGAAUUAGGGGAUUAUGGGGGAGAAUAUCUAAAAUCUGAUCACUUUUUCCAUUUUCGAAAAAAAAAAGAGUUGUUUUUCUCUCCAUCUUUCUAACGUUUUCUCUCCCCCAUCUCUACCAAAGUUUUUCUUCUUCUUUGCUUCUUACUCGAUUAUCUUUUCUUUUCUUUCCUCUACUAUCGAAAUUCCCUUGUUAAGAGAUUAUUUUGUGUUAAGCAGCACUUGUGCAAAUUCAGUAAGUUCAGUAAGUUGUUGCGUAUCAUGUUAAGAGAUUAUUUUGUGUUCAAUAGUCUAAUUCUAGGGUGUUGGCAGCAGCAUUUCAUGAGGAUUAAGGCUCUCCUCGUGAUUUUCGUAAACGUACCGGUUUGAAGUUUUUGUGGUAAGUGCUCAUCGUUUUAUGAGUAAGUAUUUUGGUUUCAGGAUUUUGAUUAAUCACGAGGUAAGAUUGAUUAUGGUGUUAUUUUCUCAAUUAUAGGUUUUGGAGUGCUCGAGGACUGUUUUAGCAUCAAACAAAACCAAGUGUGUACCCAAAACACAAAAAUAAAGGAUUCGCGAAAAGCCGAAAUUGCUUACUGUUUGGACAGCAGCGGUAGGCUAACUUUGAAAAAUCACCAUAAAUUGUGGAAAUCAAAUUAAAGGAUGAAAAAAAAUAUGGGAUUAAAUAUAUUUGAGUCUAGUUUCUCAUAGAAGAAACUAAGUAAGUAAAAGAAUUUCAUAUUAUGAGAUAUUUGAAUUUUAGUGAGAUAGGGUCAGAAUGAUUUCGGAAUCCCCUAUCCUAGCUUUGGAAAAUUAUUAAAAAUUGUAUAAAAAUAAUUAUAGGUUAGAAUUUAUAUUUUUAAAACCUUUAAUGAGUUUACUUUCAAAAGAAACAAACAAGAACAUCAUCCAAAUUCUGUACGAGAAGAUAAUUAAUUUUUAGUACAAAAAGGUUGAAACUGUCAGAUAGCAGAAUAGGGGAACUUUAAAGAAUAAACUGUACUUACUGGUUAAACCAAUAAUUCUGAAAAUUUAUGGUAAGAAGAUAUGUGAGUCUGGUUUCAAGGAAAAUUUACGGAUCUUAAUUCGGAAUUUUGUAGCUUAAGAUAAAAAUAAUUUAGUAACAGUGACUCAAUUAAAUAGCUUUGAAGGAUCAUAUAAGUAAAUAGUGGAAACACAUGUGAAUAAUUAUCUAACACGGGUUACAUUAAAAUGGAUCACGUGGCCAAGGCCAAUUUGGGCCUACACGGGCGAACAUCAUGGGCUUGUAGGCUCAUUUUCACUGUUUGACUGAUAACGUUGCACGGGUCGCCCAAGUCGAGUGUGAACUAAGGGUGAGCAUUCGAUCGAAUCGAAUCGAAUCGGAUUAAAUCAAAAAUUUUUGAGUUAAUCGAGUUUUCGAAUCUCAUUUUAUCAUCCUAACUUUAUUUGAAGUUUUCUUGAAUCGAGUCGAGUGAGAUGGAAUUCGAAUCAAAUCGAAUAUAUUUGUUCGAGUUAAAUUUUAAAAAAUAAUUUUGGGUCCUUGUAACCACUGUCACCCAUCGUAAUAAAAUUUGUCCACCUUAAUCAAAUUUUUUUAUUAACUUUCUUCACCUCAUAAUUUAUUUAUUAAUUUUUUAUAUAUUGGUUAGCUUCUUUGCUUGUUUAGUUGUUUCAAUUAUCUUCAGAUUCUUGUCACUAUAUAUUUUGGAAUUAAAAAAAUAUUAAAUGUAAAAAUAUGAUUUUUUAAUAAAUUUUAUUUUAAAAAUAAAAUGUGAAAUUGAUACCAAUAUAAAAUUUUAACACGAAUAUUUUAUGGCAUAAUUAAUAAUUCAAUUUUAAUAUAAAUAUUCAACAUGACUAAAAAAUUUAAUAAUAUAAAUAAUAUAAAAUGUGAAAUUUAAUUUAAUAAUAUAAAUAGUAUAUAUAAAUAAAAUUAUUACUAUUUAUGUUUAGUGAUUUGUUUUGGAUAAUUUUGAUUUUUUAUUUGAGAGUAAAUGGUGAGAAGUAAAAGUUUAGGGGGGAAUAAAAAGUUUUGGGGAAUAAAAAUUUGAGGGAAAGUAAAUAGGGGGAGUAAAAUUUUGGAGGGAAAAUAUUAAAAAAAAAUUGGAGGGGGGAGGGUUUGGGGUAGAUGAGAGGUGGGAUGGGAAGGGAAUAAAAGUUUUAAGGGAAAAGUGGGAGGGAGUAAAAAUUUUAGGGGAAAAUAAAAGGUUUUGAGUGUUUUUGGGAGUAAAAUUUUGAGAAAAAGUAAAUGGGAGAGUAAUAUUUUGGUGGGAAAUGAAUUUUGGGUAGAUUAGGGGGUUGGGAGGAGAGGGGAGUAAAAGUUUUGGGGGGGAAGUGGGAAGGAGUAAAAGUUUUUGAGGGAAAAGUAAAAAGGUUUGAGAGUUUGGGGUAAAAAUGUAAAAUUUUAUAGUUUGAUAUUCGAAUUAUUCGAGUUAUUCGAAUUCGAAAACUCAACUCGAUUCGAACUCGAAAUUUGAAAAAAAAAAUUCGAGUUGAUUCGUAUCUCUCGAUUAACUCAAAAUUUUAAUUUUUUUUUUAUUUUUUCGAGUCGAAUCGAGUUUUGCUCACCCCUACUGUGAACUUAUUGUAGGGUCGAUAAGUUUACCUAGACCCCUAAUUGAUUGAACUGACUGUAUGACUGAUAUGAUUAAGCCUGAUUAUGUCCCACUGAUUUGAUAUUGUAUGCCCUGUUUACAUGCAUGAUAUUAUGUUAUAGCAUGUCAUAUUUGUAUAUUGCAUUACAUUGGGUUGGGGGAUUAUAAUGUUCGGAGGAAGUGUACUGAAAGCCCUCGAGCCUAAUUUACUGGUAGCUUAACUACAAACUACUGUCUAGUUCCGCAUUCAAUACUACUUGGAGUGUAGGGAUUGGUGGGUUGAUUAUAUCCCCACAUGGAGUGUAGGGUUGGACGGAGAUGGUGUGUAGAAGCUGGAUGGGUAGGAUUUUUGUGACUGCAUAUCUAUUACUGCUACUGAUACUGUGAUGGGCUAAAGCCCUACUGUAUGACUGUUUUUGUACUAAGAUGGGUUAAGGCCCAAACUGGAUUGAUAUUGUUUUUGUGAUUAUUUGUUUACUAACUGUUCAUUUGUAUGGGGAUUACACACUGAUUUUACGUAAACUCACCCCUUUUAUUUAAUCUGUACAGGUAAUCCCUAGAUAUAGGCAGAUCGGUGCAACAAAGGACUCAAUGGUGGCCAUACAACUUCUUUUACACUGUUUACUACCUAUUUAUGAUUUUAAUUUUAUUUGGGAGUAUUUUGCUGUAAUUAUGGACUUUACAAAUUUUGGUUUAAAAUUUGGAUUUUUUACGGUUUUAUGAUUUAAAUCUACUAGUGUUAGGUAAAACUCGGGUUUUCAAUUGAAAUUAAUGUUUUAUCAAAAAUACCACGAAUAAGCAAACUGUUUAAAAGCUUCCACAAUAAAAAUAAAAAAACUUUUCGAAUUUGAAUAAUGAUUUGUAAAUGAAUAAUAUUUUGAAAACGAACGACACGAUUUGAAGUUAACAUAAGAUAAUAAAAAAUGGUUAAAUAGAAAAAAGGAUUUAGCGGCGACAUAUUUUUCGAAAAGCACACCAUGUAACGUCGUCAAAUUCGGCCAUAACGUCUAGGCUGGGUUUGAGGUGUUAUAUUUAGUAGUAUCAGAGCCAGGUUGUAAAACUCGACUGUGGAUAUGAGUUUUUAAGACGUGAUUUCUGAGAACUGAUUUCUAAAUAUGUUUACUAAAAAUAUGGUACACCGAGUCUCCGGCGCCGAUCCAGUAAGCUUUUUGAAACUGUGAAUUGUUUAAACUGAAACUAAAACUGUCAUUGAUAGUAUAUCCUGAAACUGCUAUAGAUAGUAUAUACUGAGACUAUUAUAGAUAGACUAUAUUGAAAACACUUAAAAUAGUAUAUACUGAGAUUGUAGUAAAAUUGAUAGACAUUGAUUAACACUACGAUGUAUGAAACAAACUUUACACUUCUGAUACUUUUUUUAUAAAAUAUCUAUUAAUAAACACUGGAACUGUAAGCUGAUGCAUAAAACUGUUAAUACCAAUAAAAUGCAAUUAGAUAAUGAGCACCAGAGGUACUCGUGGACGGGUUACAAGAGGCCGUGGUAGAGGCCAUAGAGCUGCCCGAGCUAGGUCUUCGUCAUCUGGCAGUCUGUCAAAUUUGGAUACAGUGAGACGCCAGUGUCACCUGCUACUGAGACUGGGUCUCAAGAUCGUAUGGCUGGGGAUGAUGCAUUGUCCUAGGCUAUGCUAAGGAUUUUGGAGAGGGUCGCUGGGCCCAAUACUAGAUUUAGGAGUCGAGGGUCGGUUACGGAACGACUUCUGUGUAAUAGAGCUGAGCUUUUCAGGGGUGUCACUGGGGUCUCCCCAAGUGUGGCCGAGUACUGGAUUGAGGCAACAGAGAGGAUAAUGGAUGAUCUAGAUUGCAACCCUAAGCAGAAAUUAAAGGGUGCAAUCUCGCUGCUGCGGGACGAGGCUUAUUAGUGGUGGCUGACCGUUAAGUAGAGCACUUAGCCCGAGUGUCUAACCUAGGAGUUCUUUAAGACCGAAUUCCAGGGGAAAUAUGUAGGAGCUAGUUAUGUGAAUGCACGUAGGAGGGAGUUUUUGAAUCUUACACAGGGGGAUCGAUCAGUGGCCGAGUAUGAGGCUGAGUUUCUGAGACUGAGCCACUAUACGCGAGGUAUGGUAGCAUCUAAGUAUGAGUGAUAUGUCCAUUUUGAGGAUGAAUUCAGAGAUAAUUUGAAAGUUCUGAUAGCCCCGCAGAGGGAGAGAGAUCUUUCUGCCCUGGUCGAGAAGGUGAAAAUCACUGAGGAGGAUAUGGAGGUAGUCAUGAUCGGAGAACGUCGGAACUACUUAUCUAAUUUGAUCUCUACACUGGUGGCGGAGAAGUUGGUUCGUAAGCGAUGUGAGACAUUCUUGGCCUAUGUAAGUGUUUCAGAUUUUAAGGACUCUACAGUUAAGGAUAUCAGAACGGUAAAUGAUGUUCUAGAUAUCUUAUCGGAUGAGCUAUCGAGUUUACCUUCGAAUCGUGAAGUGGAGUUUGAGAUAGAGCUCCUUCCUGGUACAACUCCAGUGUCCAUCGCUCCCUAUAGAAUGGCACUGAAUGAGCUUGUGGAGCUUAAGGCUCAGAUUCAAGAGAUUUUAGCUCGCGGGUUCAUCUGCCCUAGUGUGUCUCCGUGGGGAGCACUGGUUCUGUUUGUAAAGAAAAAUAAUGGAUCCAUGCGUAUGUGCAUCGACUAUAGGCAGCUGAAUAAAUUAACCAUUAAGAAUAAAUACCCCCUACUGAGGAUAGAUGAUCUGUUUGACCAGUUCCGAGGAGCUUCAAUUUUCUCUAUGAUUGACCUUCGAUCUGAAUAUCAUCAAUUAAGGGUUAAGGAGGGUGAUGUUCGUAAGACGGCGUUUAGGACUCGUUAUGGUCACUACGAGCUUCUAGUGAUGCCAUUCGAAUUGGCUAAUGCACUGGUAACUUUCAUAGAUUUAAUGAAUCGAGUGUUCCAACCUUAUUUGGAUCGGUUUGUGGUGGUAUUCAUCGACGACAUAAUGGUUUACUCGAGGACUGAGGAUGAGCAUGAUGAGCACCUUCGAGUCGUUCUUUAGACUUUGAAGGAAAAACAACUCUAUGCUAAGUUUAGUAAGUGCGAGUUCUGGCUGCGUAAUGAGACAUUUCUUGGUCAUGUAGUUUCAAUUGAGGGGAUUCAAGUUGAUCUUCGAAAGAUUGAAGUUGUGUUGGAGUGAAAGUAGCCUAGGAACGUGUCUGAGAUCCGCAGUUUUCUAGGGCUAGCAGGAUAUUAUCGAUGAUUUGUAGAGGGUUUUUCAUUGAUUGUAGCACCCUUGACUAAGCUGCUAUGUAAGGGUGUGUCGUUUAACUGGACUGAUGCAUAGCAAGAGAGCUUUGAGAAGCUUUAGACUGUACUGACUGAUGCUCCUAUUCUGAUACAGCUAGAGCCUAGAAAGGAGUUUAUUGUUUAUAGUGAUGUAUCACAUGUCAGUUUGGGAUAUGUAUUGAUACAUGAUGGUAAGGUGGUAGCCUAUGCAUCUCGUCAGCUUAAGACCCAUGAGGCGAAUUAUCUAAUGCAUGACUUGGAGUUGGCCGCUGUAGUAUUCGCACUGAAAAUAUGGAGGCAUUAUUUGUAUGGUGAGAAGUGUAUCAUCUACACUGAUCAUAAGAGCCUCAAGUAUCUCGUCACUUAGAAGGAGCUUAAUCUUAGGCAGCGUAAAAUGAUUGAGCUGCUUAAAGACUAUAACUGCACCAUUAAGUACCACCUUGGUUAGGCCAAUGUGGUGGUUGAUGCACUGAGCCGUAAGGUUAUGACUAAUUUCAGGGCGAUAUUUGAUCGCCUAAGUUUAUUUGAUGAAUGGUAGUUUAUUAGCCGAGCUUCAAGUUAAGUCGUUAUGGAUUGAGCAGAUUAAGGGUAAGUAGUUGGAGGAUGAGUUAUUCGGUCUUCGAUUCCGACAGAUUAAGGGUAGUGGUACUACGAAUUUUGGACUAAACAGUGAUGAGGUACUCUAUUUUCGUGGGAGAAUCUGUGUUUCGAAUGAUACUGAUUUGAGACAAGCCAUACUGAGAGAGGUGCAUAGUAGCCCUUAUGCUAUGCAUCCUGGCGGAAAUAAGAUGUAUCGAGACCUUCGUGAGUUAUAUUGGUGGCCAAUGUUGAAACGUGAGGUUACUAAUUUUGUGGGUAGAUGUUUGACUUGCCAGCAGGUUAAGGCUGAGCAUCAAUUACCUUCGGGUUUGCUGCAGCCGGUUAAGAUUCUUCUUUGGAAAUGAGAGUGCGUAACUAUGGAUUUCGUUAAUGUGUUGCCUCUAACACCCACUAAGAAGGAUUUAAUAUGGGUCGUCGUGGAUCGAUUGACCAAGUCUGCCCACUCUAUAUCGGUUCGUACUGAUUAUUCUCUGCACAAGUUGGCGAAACUUUAUAUUUUUGAGAUAAUGAGACUGCAUAGAGUACAGAUUUCGAUCACAUCUGAUAGGGAUCCUUGUUUCGCAUCUUGAUUUUGGAGGAAGUUACAUGAGGCUCUAGGUUCAAGGGUGGACUUCAGUACUGGAUUCCAUCCUCAGAUCGAUGGUCAGUCUGAGAGGGUGAUUCAGAUACUGGAGGACAAUUUGAGGCGCUACCACUCUGAUCCUACUCAUAUUGUCCCUAGGACAGAUUUGACCUUUAAGGAAGAGCCGAUUCAGAUUCUGGAUCGCAACGUUAAUGUUCUGAGAAGGAAAUCCAUUCUACUGGUAAAGGUUCUAUGGCGUAAGCAUAACAGUGAAAAGGCCACAUGGGAGCCUGAGGAUGCAAUGUGUCAGCAGUGUCCUCAUCUGUUCUGAUAAGGAGGACGAAAUUUUCUUUAGGGGGUAGAAUUGUAACGCCCCAAGAUUUUAAUUUUAAGUAUUGUGAAUGUGUGACACAAACAUCUGUCAACUUUAGUGGUUAUGUGUUCUGGGAGUGUUUGGAAGGUCGCAAGUUCAAGCCAAGACUUAGGCAAAUUUUGGUAUUUUUAUGAAUAAGCCCUAUCUUUGGUCAGUAGGCUUUUAAGUAAAAGUUGGCAAAUAAUUAACAGAAUGGGCCUGCUGGUCUGGUGGAUAAGUGGAGUGUUGGUGUGAGGGAGGUCAUAGGUUCAAAUCUUUGAGACGGUAAAGGUUGUAUUUUUGCUCUUAAUUUCGGCAAGAGUUGUGCUGAACUGGGUUUCUGAGUGGUGGAUGUGUAGUGGGAAGUGAGAGAGCGAUUUUAGAAGUGAAUUAGGGGAUUAUGGGGGAGAAUAUCCAAAAUCUGAUCACUUUUUCCUUUUUCGGAAAAAAAUAGAGUCGUUUUUCUAUCCAUCUUUCUGACAUUUUCUCUCCCACAUAGAGUGUAGGGUUGGACGGAGAUGGUGUGUAAAGGCUAGAUGGGUAGGAUUUUUGUGACUGCAUAUCUGUUACUGCUACUGAUACUGUCAUGGGCUAAAGCCCUACUGCAUGACUGUUUUUGUACUGAGAUGGGCUAAGGCCCAAAUUGGAUUGAUACUGAUACUGAAAAGGGCUUAAGCCCAGAUUGUGAUUAUUUGUUUACUCUCUGUUCAUUUGUAUGGGGAUUACACACUGAGUUUACGUAAACUCACCCCUUCUAUUUAAUCUGUAUAGGUAAUUCCUAGAUAUGGGCGGAUCGGUGCAGCGGAGGACUCAGUGGUGGCCACAUGACUUCUUUUACACUGUUUGCUACCUAUUUAUGAUUUUACUUUUAUUUGGGAGUAUUUUGCUGUAAUUAUGGCCUUUACGAAUUUUGGUUUAAAAUUUGGAUUUUAUACGAUUUUAUGAUUUAAAUCUGCUAGUGUUAGGUAAAACUCAGAUUUUCAAUUGAAAUUAAUGUUUUAUCGAAAAUACCACGAAUAAGAAAUCUGUUUAAAAGCUUUCGCAAUAAAAAUAAAAAAAACUUUUAGUAAAUGAAUAAUAUUUUGAAAACGAAUGACACGAUUUGAAGUUAACAUAAGAUAAUAAAACAAUGGUUAAAUAGAAAAGAGGAUUUAGCGACGGCAUAUUUUUUGAAAAGCACUACCAUGUGACAUCGUCAGAUUCGGCCAUAACGUUAAGGAUGGGUUUGGGGUGUUACAUGGUGCGACCAUCGGCGUCGGUUCUUGUGUUGGUGUAAAUGAUAGACCCGCCUCAAAAGCUGGACCUAGCCUUGGAUCCUAGGCUCCCGUCGUGGCCUCCUCGUAUAACGUUGUCUACCCCUCGUCUCUUCCGCUAGUAGAUAUGGCUUGCCAUGGUGUCUAAACCAUGGCAUGUACUCCAGACCACAGGCUAACUUCAGAGCAAUAAUGGCCUCACGAGUAGGUAAAAAGUUGUAUAUAUUGUUCCAAAGGUUGGAAUAUUCAACGUGGAAUGUAGGCCAAUUGUAACACCCCACACCCAACCUAGAAGUUAGGCCUGAAUCUGGCGUGUCAUAUUGAAUUGUUUUUCGAAAACCAUGUUUUCAUUAAAAACCCUUCUUGAAAUUUCAAACUUCUUGCCAUUUAAAACUUGUAUAAAACCUCAUUUUGUGUUUAUUUAUUAUCAAUCGAGGUUUAUUAAACAGUUAUUACCUUCAAAACCUUAUUGUUAAAGAAAGCUUAAUUUAAAGCAAAUGAUCUACGAGAAUGUGAUAUUUAAAAAUUGAGGUGCGGAAACAUAAUGUUAGAAAAUAGUUAUUGUUUUGGAAAAUCGUGUUCUACUUCUAGCAGAUAUAAAUCACAAUCAUAUCAAAUCCCAAAUCUUAAAUCCAGAAAUUAUAGAUGCCUUAUUACAACCCGAAUCAAAAUCGAAUUGCUUAAGUAAAUGAGCAAAAAAGAAUAAAACAUGUGCAGUUGUGUGGCCCUCUCCGAGUCCCUCGUAGCUCAGAACCGUCUAAUGCUAGAGAUUACUUGUACAAUUAGACAAAAGGGUGAGUUUGCGAAAACUCAGUGUGUAAUCCCCUAUCAAACAGUCAACAUACAACAUACAACAACAGUGUGGGCCUUAGCCCAAUACAGUAACAAUGUAGGCCUUAGCCCAAUACAGUAUCGGUACUGUGUAAUAAUGCAACCUAUCUCAAUCCAGCAACACACCACCCGUACCAACCAACACACCAUGUGGGGAUAAAAUCGACCCACCCAGCCAUCACACCAAUACCAGCACUAGUAGCAGCACUAAUCAGUAAUGCAGCAAAGCUGCUAGUAAUCAGAAUGGCUAAGAGCCGUAAACAGGAUAGCUAUAAGUUAUAAACAGAAUGGCUACAAGCCAUAAAUAUAGCAAUAUGAUUGGCCCAAAGCCAUCAGUAACAGUGAUAUGAUCGGUACACAGCCAUCAGUAGUAUCGUAGCAAAGCUGCCAGCAACAGUAUCGCAGCAAAUCUGCCAGUAAUUAGAAUGUGUGGCCAAGCCACCAGUAACUGUGAUCGUGGUAGAGCUCUAGUACAGUACUUCCUCCAUAACAGUAUCCCAACCCCAUGCAGUAUGUCAUGUAUGCAGAAUGUCAUGCUCAAAAUCAGUCAUACAAUUCACAGAAAAAACAGUCAUUUAAAUCACAGACAAAUCAGUCAUUUUCAUCAUGGACAAAUCAAUCAUUUAACCUCGAGGGGUAAAAUAGUCAUUCACCCUUUAGGGGCAUUACGGUCAUUUUACUUUACAGCGGUAUUUUGGUUAUUUUACCCUAAGAGGGUAUCUCGAUCAUUUUACCACGUAUCGCAUGUUGAGCUUACCACUCGAGCGUUUGCGCGCCUGUAAUGUCUCGAAUGCCGUGCUCACGACUUUUUAACUUUUUUUGCUUUACAAUUUAGAGAGGGUGUGAUUACACACUUUUUCAGCUUUACGACAGUAAUGAUUUACGGUUUACAGAUACACACUUGAUUGCGAAAAUUGUGAAUGACCUACGAGAAUUCCAACCUAUAAUCAAUCAAGGCAAUCCAUUAAUCACUUGCCAAUCGAGUUAAUCGAAUCCCAAUCAACUUAUCACGUACCCAUUCUCAGCUGGCACCAUUCCUGAUCCUCCCUCAGAAUGGCUACUACUCGCCACCAUUGAUAUCUCUUUACGCAACAUAUAAUCGGAUACGUCCAUUUCACUUCUAGAGAUUUUAGAACCCAAAAUUGAUGAUGAUGGGAUCGGUUAGAAUAGUUCAGGUAUAUUCAGCCCAACACAAUAGGGAAAGAUGAUAAACUGAACGUACACAAAAAUCAUUAUAAAGAAUUCAGCUAUGAUUAGAAGGGAGCGAGAAGCAGAGACAAAGAAGAUAGAGAGUAGGUUGAGUUUAGAAGGGAGGCCGAGAGGAGAAGGAUUCAAAAGGAAAAGAAUAAGCAGAACCAAGAGUGAGAGAGGAAAGGGAUUUCGGUAAAGCAAAGAAAGAAAAAGAAACCUAAAAGAAAGUUACCUAUUCGGCAAAUGUAGAAAGGAAGGAAAUAAUAGUAAUUUUGGUCACCUCAAUAGCUAAAACGCAAAACUUGAAAGAAAUCCUCGAACGAUAAAAACCUAAAGAGAAUUCGGCAUGCUCCUCUAAAACCCCACAAAACCAAACAAAGAAAUACCUAGUGCUGAAAAUGCUCCCUAUUUCACCCUAGCCGAAUUCCACUAAAGCCUUAGAAUCUCACUCGACUACAAUACGCUACCAACCUCCCAUAUUCAAAAUUCCUUGAUUCUCUCCCCAAUCUCCUCCUUGAUUUGCUCUAAAAUUCCAUCAAAGACCAAUUCAAACUUUACCUUACAGAGUUCGAAACCACCUAAAACUCCUAUCGCCUCAUGCUAGCAAAAUAAAUAUCCUUUUUGCUUGCAAUGGGAUUCAAACCCAGUGCCCCCUCAAUAACUCAACACGCCACUUGCCUCCUUGCCACAAGCUCUUUUGUCUUACAUUUUAUCUUCAAUUAAUAAAAAGGUCUAAUGGCCAAAGUCCAGGUUCCUUUAAAAGAACAAAAUAAAUUGCAAGAGCCAAGACUUGAACCCAGGCUCCCUUGUAACCUUAAUGACGCCACAACCACUAGACCACAUGCUUCCUUAUGACAUUUUUAACACAAUAAUUUAAAAGGCCUAUAACCAAACAUCCAGGGUUUUAUUCACUUAAAACCAAAAUUUUUCCUAAAGCCUAGGUUUGAAGGACUUUUCCAACUUCUCUCAAGACCCUUAACCACUAAAGCAGACAUACUUUUAUGCACAGUUUCCUAAAAGUUCUCUUGCUCAAGGCCCAAUACUUUUAGGCCCAAACUCUGGGGCGUUACAAUUCUAUCCCCUUAAAGAAAUUUCUUCUUCGAAAUUUCCAACUAACAAGAUAGUCGCACCGCACAGACUUCACCACUACACUCCUGCUGCGUAUUCUGAUUCAAAACAUUACUACAGCCGCUUGAACCACAUUCACGCGUAUCUCUUGUGCCCAUUGUCUAUUCUCGUUUAAUCAGCACUAACUGUUUUAUGCAGAUUGAAGUUUCACUACAGUUCCAGUCCCGUAUAGUUUCAGUUUGCUCUAUCUAGAGUGGUAUAGUCUAAUUUCUAAAGUAGUCACAGUACUUCCUAACUUACCUCAUUUUAAUUUCUAAACAGACAAAAGUAUUCAGAAAACUUACGGAUUCAGCGACGGAGACUCGGUGUGCCACACUUUUCAGAAUAAGUAUCUUAAAACAUUUCACAUAUUCGAAAAUAACCUUUUAAUAUCUAAAAAUUUGAAAACCCAUUCCACAGCCAAGUUUUACAACUUGGCUCUGAUACCACUAAAUGUAACACCCCACACCCAGCGUAGAAGUUAGGCCUGAAUCUAGCAUGUCACAUUGAAGUGUUUUUCAAAAACCAUGUUUUUAAUAAAAACCCUUCUUGAAAUUUCACACUUCUUGCCAUUUAAAACUUGUAUAAAACCUCAAUUUGUGUUUGUUUAUUAUCAAUCGAGGUUUAUUAAAAAGUUAUUACCUUCAAAACCUUAUUGUUAAAGAAAGUUUAAUUUAAAGCAAAUGAUCUAUGAGAAUGUGAUAUUUAAAAAUUGAGGCGCGGAAACGUAAUGUUAAAAAAUAGUUAUUGUUUUGGAAAACUGUGUUCUACUUCUAGCAGAUAUAAAUCACAAUCACAUCAAAUUCCAAAUUUAAAAUCCAAAAAUUAUAGAGGCCUUAUUACAACCCGAACCAAAAUCAAAUUGCUUAAGUAAAUGAGCAAAAUAAAAUAAAACAUGUGUAAUUGUGUGGCCUCUCCGAGUUCCUCACAGCUCCAAACCGUCUAACGCUGGGGAUUACCUGUACAAUUAGAUAGAAGGGUGAGUUUGCGAAAGCUCAGUGUGUAAUCCCCUAUCAAACAGUCAGCAUACAACAUGCAACAAUAGUGUGGGUCUUAGCCCAAUACAGUAACAAUGUGGGCUUUAGCCCAAUACCAUAUCGGUAUAGUGUAAUAAUGCAACCCAUCUCAAUCCAGCCAACACACCACCCGUACCAACCAACACACCAUGUGGGGAUAAAAUCGACCCACCCAGCCAUCACACCAAUAUCAACACCAGUAGCAGCACUAAUCAGUAAUGCAGCAAAGCUGAUAGUAAUCAGAAUGGCUAAGAGCCGUAAACAGGAUAGCUAUAAGCUAUAAACAGAAUGGCUACAAGCCAUAAAUAUAGCAAUAUGAUUGGCCCAAAGCCAUCAGUAGCAGUGAUAUGAUCAGCACACAGCCAUCAGUAACGAUAAUAUGAUCGGAUCAAAGCCAUCAGUAACAGUGAUAUGAUCGGUACACAACCAUCAGUAGUAUCGCAGCAAAGCUGCCAGCAAUAGUAUCGCAGCAAAGCUGCCAGUAAUCAGAAUGUGUGGCCAAGCCACCAGUAACUGUGAUCGUGGUAGAGCUCUAGUACAGUACUUCCUCCAUAACAGUAUACCAACCCCAUGCAGUAUGUCAUGUAUGCAGAAUGUCAUGCUCAAAAUUAGUCAUACAAUUCACAGACAAAACAGUCAUUUAAAUCACAGAUAAAUCAGUCAUUUUCAUCACGGGCAAAUUAAUCAUUUAACCUCGAGGGGCAAAAUAGUCAUUUACCCUUUAGGGGCAUUACGGUCAUUUUACUUUAUAGCGGUAUUUUAGUUACUUUACCCUAACACGGUAUCUCGAUCAUUUUACCCUUUAAGGGUAAUUCGGUCAUUUUACCACGUAUCGCACGUUAAGCUUAUCACUCGAGCGCGAGCGCACUCGUGAUGUCUCGAAUGUCGUGCUCAUGACUUUUUAACACGUAUCGCACGUUAAGCUUACCACUCGAGCGCGAGCGCACUCGUGAUGUCUCGAAUGCGGUGCUCAUGACUUUUUAACUUUUACCGCUUUGCAAUUUAGAGAGGGUUUCAUUACAUACACUCUUUCGACUUUAUGACAGUAAUGAUUUACGGUGUACAGAUACACACCUAAUUGCGAAAAGUGUGAAUGACCUACGAGAAUUCCAACCUACAAUCAAUCAAGGCAAUCCAUUAAUCACUUGUCAAUCAGGUUAAUCGAAUCCCAAUCAACUUAUCAAAAUAGCCUCUAUCGAAAAAUACUUGUCCAACAGAUUACCUCUCCCUUGAUUAGAUUAGUCGGUUGUGGUUGCCCACUUGAUCCAAAUAUUGGUGCAACCACCCUGCUGCAACCCGGUGGAAAAUCCUGAACAGCUGACACUUUAUGCUGCUUAACUUUGGGGGCAUGGGCUACGUGCCCAUUCUCAGCUGGCACCAUUCCUGAUCUUCCCUCAAAAUGGCUACUACUCGCCAUCAUUGAUAUCUCAUUAUGCAACAUAUAAUCAAAAACGUCCAUUUCCCUUUUAGAGAUUUUAGAACCCAAAAUUAAUGAUGAUGGGAUCGGUUAGAAUAGUUCAAGUAUAUUCGGCCAAACACAAUAGGGAAAGAUGAUAAACUGAACGUACACAAAAAUCCUUAUGAAGAAUCGGCUAUGAUUGGAAGAGAGCGGGAAGCAGAGAAGAAGAAGAUGGAGAGUAUGUUCAGUUUAGAAGGGAGGCCGAGAGGAAAAGGAUUUAGAAGGAAAAGAAGAAGUAGAACCAAGAGUGAGAAAGGAAAGGGAUUUCGGCAAAGCAAAGAAAGAAAAAGAAACCAAAAAGAAAGUUACCUAUUCGACAAAUGUAGAAAGGAAGGAAAUAGCAGCAAUGUUGGUCACCUCAAUAGUUAAAACGCAAAACUUGAAACAAAUCCCCGAAUGGUAAAAACCCAAAGAGAAUUUGGCACUCUCAUUUAAACCCCACAAAACCGAACAAAGAAAUGCCUAGUGCCAAAAAUGUUCCUUAUUUCCCCUAGUCGAAUUCCACUAAAGCCUUAGAAUCUCACUCGGCCACAACAUGCUACCAACCUCCCAUAUUCGAAAUUCCUUGAUUCUCUCCCCAAUCUCCUUCUUGAUUUUCUCCACAAUUCCAUCCAAGACCAAUUCAAAUUUCACCUUACAGAGUUCGAAACCACCUUAAACUCCUUCCGUCCCAUACUAGCAAAAUAAAUAUCCUUUUUGCUUGCAAUGUGAUUCGAACCCAAUCCCCCCUCAAUAGCUCAGCACGCCACUUGCCUCCUUGCCACAAGCUCUUUUGUCUCACAUUUUAUCUUCAAUUAAUAAAAAGGUCUAAAGGCCAAAGUCCAGGUUCCUUUAAAAGAAAAAAAUAAAUUGUAAGAGCCAAGACAUGAACCCAGGCUCCUUUGUAACCUUAAUGACGCCACAACCACUAGACCACAUGCUUAUUUAUGACAUUUUUAACAUAAGAAUUUAAAAGGCCUACAACCAAGCAUCCAGAGUUUUAUUCAUUUAAAACCAAAAUUUUUGCUAAAGCCCAGGUUUGAACCCAGGACUUUUCCAACUUCUCUCAGGACCCUUAACCACUAAAGCAUACAUACUUUUGUGCACAUUUUCCUAACCGUUCCCUUGCUCAAAUACUUCUAGGCCCAGAUUCUGGGGUGUUACACCAAUUUUCAUCUAUUCUCCCUCACAAGUCGAUAUAGUGCAGAUAUUCGAUGUCUUGGGGUGUCAGCAGAAUCGUUUGCCUAAACCCGAACUGUUGCAUAACUUUAUCUGAUUCAAGCAUCUUCACCAUAGCAUACACUACCAAUGACACCUUCACACGCCAGAUGUUGGGAUUCACCAAGAAUUCGAACGGGAUGCAUUCAAACUAUAUUAAAAUAAUAAAAUUUUUAAUUGUAUUUAUACUUUUAAUUUUUAAACCAACUAUGUUAAUAUUAUAUAAUUCAAAUUUAAAAAAUAUAUACCUUCGCUUCCUAUCGUUGAUCUAACAAAAGUCGUAUAUCUUAAAGCUCCUCUAGUAGUCCCACAUAACUUGGCCCAUAGUUCCACCUAUUAAAAUAUUAUGUUAACACAAUAAUUUAAAUUUUAAAUAAUUUUAUUAUGAUAAAUAUAUUAUCUAAUGAAAUUUACCUUGUUACGAGUGGGCAUGCAUAAGGGUAGUUCGCUCGAGGACGUAAAUAUGGUAUCUGAUACCACACCUAUGAUUGCAGUAGUAGCAUGCAACCACUGAUUUUAAUUUUCUAUGGUUCCGCCGCCUGACACAUCUCUCAAUACAAGGUUGCCAACAUGGCUAUCCCCAACUGAGUUCGCCCACUUCUCUAAAGUCCACGAGUUUGAGUAACCACCUUAAACGGAAAAGAUUUCGUAAUUUAUUGGGCAUUAAGAGACCCUCGAUGAGUUAUGGUGAUUUAUGGAGCCCGAGCGUGUUAUUCUCUUUGGACUUCACUCGAUUCCACAUCAAGCCCACAAAAAUUUUUUUUUCAACCAAUUCACAUCUAUCUAGGCUCCAUAAAUCAUGUCUGGAACCUUCUCCAAGAGUUGCUCACAUACAUCUCUCCAAUCGGCUGUGUCAACUGACCCAGUCACUACCGGCCCAUCCAUCGAUAACUCAAGUUGUAACUGCACAUCCUCAAGUGUGAUAGAGCACUCGCCGCAUGGAAGAUGGAAUGUGUGCGUCUCGGGUCUCCACCUUUCCACCAACUCACUUACAAGUGUGGGGUCCAAUUUAAACCCCCUACCCAUACGAGCCACGUGCAAAAAUCUUGUAUUUUUCAAGUAUGGAGGAGCGGGUAGAUUACAAAUAUACGUCUCCAAAAUUCGAUCUUCCGACUAUAUAUAAAAAAAAUAUACAAAAUAUUAAAUUUCAAUAUAACAAGAAAAUAUUUAAAUAAAAUUAGACUAAUAUAAUAAAAAAAUUUACCAUUCGACCGAAAUAUGCUUGUCAUCCAAACGAAUUAGAGAUUUUUCUGUUACUAAUUUUGAAAAAUACGAAAUAAUUUGUAAUAGAAAAAUUAUUUAAAAAACAUUAAUACAAUUUUAAUAAAAAGAAUAGUUGAGAGAAGAAUAAAAAAUGAGUGAUAAAUUAAGAGGGAAUUGAGGAAAAUUUGAGAGAGGUUUGAGAAUGCGAGAGAGAUGAGUUGAGAUUGAAUUGAAAAAAAAAAGAAUUAGGGGUUUAUAUAGGAAAAAAUAGUCAUUAGUUCAGGGGGUUCAACGGCUAUUUAAAUAGCUGUUGGGGUGUGGAAGCUAUUGGGGGGUAAACGUUGUGAAAAGCGCUUCUAGCUGGAAGAGUUUUCAUCAUUUCGGCUUAGUUCCGUAAUUUUUCAAAAAACUGACCUAAUCCAAUAAUUUUAUUUUUAAAAUUUGGCAUUUUUAAGUAUUUCACCCUAUAUGUUAUUCUUUUUUCUAAGUUAUAUAUAAUUUAAAAUUUCAAAUAAUUAUCUUCCUAUUUUUUCUUAUCAAAAUUACCCAAAGCAAAUUCUAUCAAAAGUUGAAUUGGGUUGGUUAGCCCCUAAAUUCGUCCUUGUAUACUUAUAAAUAGAAUGAGUUGGGUUGAUUUUGGAUAGGAUGGAUAAAAAUGGUUAAAACUUUAAUAAGCACACUUAUUGGAGAAUUUUAUCUUAAAAUGCCCUCAAUCUCGACAAAGAAACAUUAUUUAGAAACAUCAACAUGAUAGAAUUUGGGUUUUUUCCACUGCCCUUAGCUCCAAUUUGAUUUUUAUACACACGUGGUUUUAUUUAAUCUCAAAACCAAAAUAAAUCCUUAACUUGUUCCAUGCGAAAAAUUUACAUAAUGUCUUAUGUUAUAAUUAUUUUACAGACAACAAAUUAUAAGGGCUCCUUUGGUCCAUUGAUAUCUUUAGACAAAAUUGAACCCCAACUAAAACACAAGCUCAUUGGUGAGUUUUUUUAAUUUUUCAAUCCCUAGUCUAUUAAUUAAAAUUUUAUUUUAUUCCACAAAUUUAUUAGAGAUAAAUAUCAAAACUAUACAUAAAUUUUGAUUUAUUUUGUACGAUUUUAUACAUGAAAUUUUGAUUUGGUUUAAUUUUCUAAAAUCACUAACAACAUUAUCGAAUUAGCACCAUUUUACGUUGGAUAUUACAUAAGUAAAUAAUUAUAUUAAUCCAAUAUGAAAAUAAAUAUUAUUUAAAUGUAUACAAUUAAAUCAAAAUCUAAGUUUCAUAUAUACAUAUUAGCGACAAUACAAGUUUUAUCUAUAUAAUUGUACCAAAUAAAAGUUCAUGUAUCAAAUUGCAUAUUGAAACGAAGUUCAUGUAUAAAUUUAAUAUUUAUCUCAAUUAAUCAUUAUUUUAAUGUAAUAAUGAUUUUAAUUAUUAUUUAAUAUAACAUUUUUAAUAUAUAAUUUAGCUUAAAUAUAAUAGUGUAUUUUAUAAAUUUAAUUUUUAAUUAUAGUUUAAAAUAAAUAUAACUUGUAUUUGUAUUUUGUUAUUUAAUGUAUUAUAUGUUAUAUACUUCAAUUUAAUAUUUUUAAUAAUCAUUUUCAAUUCUGAUCUCAUUGGUUUGUGGUGUUGUAUCAUAAUUAAUUUAUUUUAUCAUUAUUUUCUUCAUUUGCUAAAUUCGUGUGUUAACAAUGUGAAGUUUAUAAAUAAGCAGAAUAACGUAUCAAAAUACACCAAAUAAUGGGAACUCCCAUUUAUACAAACAAAUCCUAUAUGUGGUGAAAAUAAGCAAACAAUAGUUCUCAAAAAUCAACAUACAAAGACGUCUCAAAUCUUGUACGAUCUUCGGAGAGAGAAAGUAAACAAAUAAGUAACUAUAUAUGCUGAUUAAAAACUCGAGUCUGUAACUACCACUUUCGACCAUGAAUGAGAUGAGAACAGUAGUAGCAUGUCCCGACUCUGGACUGGGUCCCAUAAGCCAAAAGGGAUUUUUAAGGGGUAGAAGGAGAAGGUGGUGGAGAAAGGAAAGGAAUAGAGGGAAUUGUAGGUUGGAUUGUGGGGAUUGAGGGUAUGCUUGGCAGAGGAGGCAGUGUGGCCCUUCGUACACUUGGCAAUGUGGGCAACCUAGGCAUGGUAGGAAGUGGAGGAAGUGCCCCGUGUUAGAGUAGUUAUCAAAGUAGUUAAGACUGUUAUUGUGGUUAUCGUUUGCAGUUAGUCUGUUAUCAGCAGUUUCUUCAUUGUACGUAUGACUAUAAAUGCAUGAGACUUCUGCAUGCAUUAAAUAAAUAGAAUAAAAAGUAAGAAAGUCUUCUUUUCUGAAUAUUUUGUAAAGUCUAACAUGGUAUCAGAUGUAAGGUGUUUCUUGGUGUUUUCUGCUUGAUUUUCCGCUAUGUAUGUUUAGUAUGGCUUGCAAUUCUGUUGAUGGAGUUGUCGAUAGUAGGAUUUUUUCAUCAAAGAAGAUCAGUGUUCUUCUUGAUGAUAGCAACUAUUUGUUGUGGCGACAGAAAGUUCUUCUAGCAGUCAAAGCACACAAGCUUCAGCGUUUCUUGGAUGAGAAUCAAGAUCCUCCUACUCAGUUUAUUUCCGAUGAAAGUGGGGGUUGUUGUGAAAAUCCAGAGUUUGCUCAUUUUGAGCAACAAGAUAGUGCGCUUGCAUCGUGGCUAUUAUCUUCUAUCGGUCCAUCUGUCCUACCUCACCUUAUUGGCAUGGAUACAAGUGCGAAGAUCUGGAAAGCGGUUGUCGCCUUGUAUGGGAGUAAAACCACUUCCAAGUUGAUGUUUUAUCGGUGGACUUUGCACUCUCAGCGCAAGGGUGAGAUGAGCAUGAAAGAUUUUUUAGUCAAGAUUAAAGGCUGUUGUGAUUACCUUGCUAGUUGUGGUGAAAUCAUUAGUGAGCAUGAGCACAUCACUGCAAUUCUCAAUGGACUUUCUCCAGAUUAUGAAUCUGUUAUUACAAUUGUUACUUCCAGCCAGGUGCCCUACACGGUUCAAGGAGUAGUGUCUAUGCUUCUUGAUGCUGAAGCACGACAACAGCUUGUGAGUACUGAAAUUUCUAGUUUUGCUAACGUGGUAUCGCAUCAAAAGUCUGACUCCACAGUUUCUAAUGAUUCCAUUCCUUCUUAUCAACCAUCGUCUAUGAGUCGAGGGCGUGGGCGAGGUCGUUCUUUUCACUCGAAGAUUCAAUGUCAGUUGUGUGGGAAGGCUGGUAAUCUUGUUGAUCGCUGUUAUCAUCGGUUUGACUCUUCUUACAAGAGUACUAACUACAGGCCUCCUCCACAAGCAAACAUCAGCAUGGUUGGCUCCGGUCAUUCUACUACGCCUUGGCUCACUUCUUCUCAACCUCAAUGGAAUUCAUCAGGUUGGUGUUUUUCCACUCUUCCAUCAUCUACUUGGGCUAAUCCGUUUGUUGGUAGUCCUCCACAACAGGUUCCCAUGCUGUCCUCUGGCACAGCCCCAACACCACCUCAGGCGUAUGUAGCAACUCCUGAAACAGUAGCUGAUAAUUCUUGGUAUCCGGAUUCAGGUGCCACGCAUCAUUUAACAAAUUCAGCCAGCUCCAUUGGUGAUACUGGAUCUUUCAAAGGCCCAGGUAAGGUAUUUGUUGGAAAAGGUUCGGCUUUACCUGUUAUGUCUCCUGGACAGUCCCAUUUUAAGGGGUAGAAGGAGAAGGUGGUGGAGAAAGGAAAGGAAUAGAGGGAAUUGUAGGUUGGAUUGUGGGGAUUGAGGGUAUGCUUGGCAGAGGAGGCAGUGUGGCCCUGGGUACACUUGGCAAUGUGGGCAACCCAGGCAUGGUAGGAAGUGGAGGAAGUGCCCCGGGCCUUGGGAAAGAUGGUAUGGAUGGCUGUGGGAGAUUAGGGAUAGAUGGGAAUGGUGGGAGUGUGGUUGUAGGCAAUGUUGGCAUCGGAGGCAGUUGCUGAAGGUGACGAGCUGCUAGGCCAACGUCAAUGCUUGAAAACGACAAAGCCACGAAGAAUGCCAAAGCAAAGCAAUUGAAAGAUGCCAUUUCUGUUAAGCAGAUGAAACAAAGUCUUUUUAUCUUAAUAGCUACUUUUGAGUGAGGAAGAGAAAGCAUGGUGUAAGGGGUUUAUAUAGGGUCUUGGAGCAGUGGGAAUAGGCCACUGGAGUUGGUGAUAUUUGAUCAUACAUGGUUGAGAAAGGAGAAAGCUUGGUCAAUAUUAAAGAUAUUUGGUAGGUCAUCUUCUAAUGGAUAUUGGAGUUUAAAACUGGUGAAAUGCAGUUGUUGUGGUUGGCAUGGAAGCGACCUCAUGUAAUAAGUUAACCUCUUAAUUAAAUUAAUAAGUUAGCGCCUUAAGUUAGCUGAUUAAAUUAAUCCUCCAGCUUACCAAUGUUUCAGCCAAUUGCCUGUUAUGUAGCCCGACAUAGGGUCGUUUACUUAACUAUGUCAAACAUUUUAAAAGAUGAUUACAUGAUUUAACUUUUCCGACAUUCUAGAUCACCUUUUAGUUGUGCAUAUUUAUUUGGUUUUAGAUCAAGUUAAUUUAAAUCAAGUUAAUUAAGAUUUUAAAAUUUUCAAGUUGUUUCGGGUUUGGGUCAAUUUCAAGUUUGGUUCGCUUUAAGUCAUUUCAGUGAGAGGUUCAAUUUUUUAGUUAAGUCAUUAUAGGUCUAGAUUGUUUUGAGUUAUGGUUACUUCAAGUUUAAGUUAUUCUAUGUUACUUGUUCUAUUUAUUUCGAGCUCUAAUCAUUUUAAAUUUAGAUUAUUUAAAAUUAAAUUAUUUCAAAAUUAUUUUAAAUUCAAACCAAUUGAAAUUUAAGUUGAAGAAGUUAAAAUUGUUAACCUUUUAUGGUGAAAUCAAAUAGGAUCAAAGUCAAAAUUGGCAUGUUUAGCUUCUUGUUAAACUUACCAUUGCAAAAAAAAAAAAAUGAAAGUUAGAACUCCCAAUUGAAGUAGUAGUAAUUGAAAACACAAGUUAAAACUCCCUUAAACCAAAAUAAUAUUAGUUCGAAACAACAAAUUAAACGCGCGGAUCCUCUGGCGGGUCGGGUCGCAUGCGCAGGUUGAAGGGCUAAACGACGUCGUUUUGGGGGCCUAUAAAGCUCAAAUUUUUGACAAAAAUUUCAUUCCUUUCCUUCUCAAAAAAAAAUGCUCUCUCCCCCCUCUCUUAGCCCAGAAUCCGGCGAAGGCUCCGGCGAGUUACUACCGUGUCGGCCGCCGGUCGCCGGCGAUGGCACCACCGUCAACGGCGGCCGAAAGGCCAAAAGUCACAUUUUUCCGUCGAAAUCAAGGAUAAGUUUUUCUUUUCUUUUUAUAUAUUUUUAUGUUUACUAUAUAUUUGUAUAUAUAUAUUAGAAAAUGACUAAAUAAAAAAAGAAUCCGAAAACAAAAUAAUAAUAAAAAAAACCUUUGCUUUUGGGAUCUACUCACUUUUUUAUGUUUGAAUCUCUUUUUUUUUUUGCUUGAAUCCUUUUUAUUUCAUUGAAAAAAAAAAGAAAACACUCCCGUUACAAUAAUUUUCUGAUUAAAUGCUAAAGUUACAUGUUUUAUGUAAUUAAAUUGGUUAAUUUAUGAGAAUGCACCACUAAUUUUGCCAUAUUUAUUGAAUUUUGUGUAGGAAUGCAAUUUGGGGCUAAAUAGAAGAAAAAGGAAACAAUUGGGCUCAAUAGAUUUAUUCAAUAUUAUCUUUUUAUUUCAUUAUUUCAAAAAUAAUAUUACAUGCAAAAUCAUUGUCGACCACUUUUAUUAUCGGUUCCACAUUUUCUCGAAUUGACAUAACUUAUCGAGAUUUCUUUAUUUUCACUGCCUUAACCUUCAGUUUUAGGUACCUGAAUCUCUUCUAGAAUUUUAAUUAUAUCUUAGGUCUCUUUUAGAGCACCUGUCUUUACUAUAUGACCAUCUAGAUUUAUUAUUUUCUUUUAUGAGAAUUUUCAUAUUUGGAACUUGUAAUGAGUUAUCCUUGUUGAAGUUUUAGUUCAAAUUAUCUCCCCCCUAAUCCAUUACAAGUUAUUAUUUCUCUCAUUCUAAUAUCGGGAAAACUAUCGAAUCAAAAUAGUAAUCACAAAUCAUGUGAUAAUUGAAUCUCCAAUACAUUUAAAACAUAUAAUAAUACUAGGAGACUCGUAAUUAAUACAUAUUCCCAAUUUUUUUUGAGUAUUCACUCAUCUUUAUUGUGGUGGAGCACUUGGAAUAUAUACGCACAUACAAAAAUUCAAAGAUGAGAUAUUUAGCUUUUGACCAAAAAUCAAUUGUAAUAGGGAGUAUUUAUAAUAUAUUGGCUUGAUGCGUGCAACACGUAAAUCAACAUAAUCUCAUAUUGAAAUAAGAAGUUUAGUUGUCAUAAGUAAUGGUUUAGACAUUAAUUAGAGGCGUUCAACCAAUAAUUUAUCUAAACCAUUAUGCGCAUAAAUAACAAACUUUUACAAAUUCAAUCAAUAAAAGAUUGAGAUAUAAACUCAUUACUAUUAGCAAGAUGAAUUGUCUUAAAUGCAUAAUCUAAAAUUAAUUAUUUAAACAAGCAAUCUUGCAAGCGACAGAUUGCAAGUUGAUAACACAUACGUGAUUAUUUUGUAGAUGCAUAUACCAAUAUCAUAUAAUAUCAAAACCAUCCACAUGGUGGAUGAAUGAACCCAUAUUCAUUUCAGAAAUGCAAGAUAUUAAAUCUCAACUUUUUUCAUUGAGAAAAAGCAAUAAAUGAGAAUUCUUUAAAUUAAAGAAUCUUCUGGUUCUUUAAUGAAUGUCCAUAUUAAUUCUCAAUUAAUUUUCGCAUCAUAUAUGAUACAGGAUGGUCUAACUAGUCACGCCAAGUAGUAAAUACAUUUGUAUAAGUAAACUUCCGGUUUACUUUAACAUGCAUUUCAAUUGUACUAAUAAUGUCAAUAUAAAUUGUGACAAAUUGAUAAUUUUACUUUCAUUUCUUUUACUUUGUAUCCACAUAUAAGUACUAUUGUAACAUUUACUACUGGAAAUGUCUAAAUCAAUGUGAAGUUUAUAAUGCCACUAAGACAACGAAAUAAAUAUAAUUUCCAAACAAUUAUAUACAAUAUUCGUUUCAGGGAAUAUGCCAAAAUCUUCAAAUAUCAAAAAAGAAAUUAUUAUAAAAAUUAUUAUAUUUAUUGCAGACAUUCAUUUCAAUGAAUGUGCAAAAAAUAAUUCAAACAAUAAUGUAAGCAUAUAUUAUAUUUCUUACCAAUAAGAUUAUAUAGAUAUCAUUUGCUUCAAGGAAUGAUAAAUUAAUAUAAAUCAUUGAACAUUCUAUACUAAGAAUAAACAUUUAACAACAUUUUGAAUCGUCCAUCUUCUUCUUAUCUAUUUGUCAGUAAUGACAAUAAGUUAAUUUUUUAUAAUUGUUAUGAAUUGCUACAUUCACUUCAGGGAAUGGAACAAAACUUGGUGGAACAAAUAACUCAUUAUUAUUUUUAGUCAUAAUGAGCUAUGAGAUCAAUUCAAAAUAAUUUUAAAAUUUGCAUAAUCAAUUAACUAACAAAAACAAAUGGCUAGGUCAUGUAUAGAAACAAGCCUAAAUUAAAUAUAUCAAUAAAAGUCACAUCUCAAACAUAAAAAUAUGACAUAAUGAAAAACUAUAAUUUUUUUUCCUUUCAUAACCAUUAUCAUAAACAUGCAUGAAAUUUAAUUCAAAAUCCAAUCAUUCAUGCUCAUAGAACUUUUCAUUUACAAUUGCUCAUGUCAUUUCUCUAAAUAAUUAACACAUGGAAUAAUAUAAAACGUAUGAACUACUACCUUUAACAAUUCUUUGAACUAAAUUAAAUUCGAGUAACCAUCAAAUUCAUUGGUUUAUUAGCACAAAUUUGCAUACUAGGUAUGUUUUAGUCAAAUAUAUUAUUUAAUUAUAAAACAUACUAUAGCAACAUAAAUAAAUCAGUUACUAUUCAUUUUCAUGAACAAAUGAGAUGCUUAAAACAAUGUGUAACAUAUGUAAUCAAAACUUAAAAAGAAGACCAUCUCAAAUAUUUAUACCAUAUAUCAAGUUGAUUUAAUAUUUAAAGAUAUACCUUUUUUUUCUGUGUUGAGUCUUGACGAUUUUAUCGAGACGUAAGUAAAUUAAACUCCAAUAGCAGACUUUGAAUCCAAUCAAAAUCUAUUAAUAGAAAACUUUGAGAGUGAAUCUUAUUUUCUAGGUGUACAGCAGGUACAUAACCAAUGACUUUUCAUACAUAAGUUUUCUCUCUUGCAAGUUCUCAAUAGUAAUAUUUUUCCAGCUAAUUUUAAUUGAGAAUUUAUUCUAAAUACUGUAGAGAUAUACUCACAGUUUUAAAAAAAACUUGCAACUUCAAAUGCAUCCAACCAUAACAAGAUUUAGAUAGAAUUAACAUAUUCUAUUGCUCAUAAGUAGAUCUUUCACAAUAAAAUAUUUUGCUUUCAACUCCUCAAUAAGGAUGAUGACAAAAGAAGAUUACAAAGAUAGUCACAGUCAAUUCAAUUUAAUAACAAGAGUAAUCAAUAACUCAAUCCUCCCCUUUUUUUUCAUCCUUUCAAAAUAGAUAUUUAUAGCAAUAGUGAUUCACAUGAAAUAUAAUAUUUUCUUCAUUCACAAUGUCAAUAUGGUAUUCAUUAUAAUGAAUAUAUUUUAAAACUAAUGCAUUAACCAUCACAAGUUUUGUGUUUUUUUAGAUAUUGAUAUAUUAGUUCUUCUAGAGCUUUCAACUAAUUUUGUACUAUAAAUUAUUGGAAUAAUAUUUGUUUGUUUCAGUACCAAAUAAGAUAAAUAUUUUCUAUCUGUAAUGAUAGAAUUCAUUACUACAUUCUCAUAUCCUUCCUUAAAGAAUAUUAAUAGAAACAAAAUAUUUGGGCAUAUGCCACAUAUGUGGCCAAUAAUCUUUCAUAUCACAUUGAUAACAUAAGUUAUGUUUACCCUUUAGAGAGUUAUCUUGAGAACUCUCAUUGUUCUCUUAUUUAUUACUAUGUUCCCACUUUAAGUGGUCCAUGAUUAUAUCUUUUAUUUUCUUAUAUUUGCAUUCACUUCGGGGAAUGCAACAAAUCUAGUAGGACAAACUUCUAAACGCUUAUAUUGAUUCUUUAUUUCAUAAUCACUAUCGCAAACAUACGUGGAUUUCAAAUCAGAAUCUAUCUAUUCAUGUUGUCAUGAUUAGUCUUCAAUUAUAAUAAACAUGAUAUAAUAAAUAAAUCAUAGUAAAAUAUACCUGAAGAUCUUUAACAUCAUCGUCAUCACCCAGGUAAGGAUUAUAUAAAUUUCUUUGGAUAAUUAUUACCCAUAGUGCAUAGGCCUCAAUUGGAGACUGAAAUUGCAAUAGCUCUAGAAUCAUGCGCAGAUUUGGAGUGAUUGUAUUGUAAAAUAAAACAGAAUCAUGCUGAUAACGUAUUAUAAAAUAAAAGAUAGAAAGUAAAGAACAGAAAGUUAAAGAGCGUAUUUUAUCGAUCAAUCGGAAUCAUUUACAAUGCUUCUCUAAAGUAUAUAUUUAUAGACAUAAGAAGUAUAAAUGAAAUAGAACUCUACUUCUAAUGACUAUUAGAAUUUAAAGUAUAUCAAAACUUAUCUAAAUCUUGAUGGACAUCCACUUAAUAAUAAAAUAUUCAUAACAAUUGUUUGAGUUUUAUUAUUUUAAUAUUUAUAUUUAAUAUCUAAACUAUUGGAAGUAUAUCAUUUGUUCGGUUAUUCUAUAUGUGCAAAUUUUUAAUUGUUUGUGAACAUAUUCAUUUAAUGUUCAAAAAUAAAUUUAUUUAAUUUAAUAUAAAAAUAUAUAAUUUUAAAUAUAAUGAAUUCAAACACAAUAAUAAAGUUCUUAAUGAAGAGAAACCAAAUCUAAACCUACUUUAAAAGAAACAAACUAAACAUGAAUAAAGAUCGUUCAUUCAAGUUCGAUUCAUUUUUUGCUCUACUUAUAGUGAUUGUAAUUAUUUAAUCUAAAAGCUAGAAUUUCAAACCCCAAAUUAUUCGAACAUAAAAUAAUCCGAACCCGAAAUUAACCCAAAUUUAGAAAGAUUUACUCAUUUGCAAACAAAAAUUACACUAGAAAUUAAAUCCCUCUAUUUCGUAUAUGUUCCAAGCAAGAUUUCCCAUCGAGCUUGUUGCUUUGUUGAAGCUCCACGUAUUCUUUAUAUUUCAUUGCUCGGUAUGCCAAUGGGUUCUGACCAUCUUCCAGCAGCAUUGGAGCCGGACUCACUGCGGCGUCCGCGGCCGGUCCAUGCGCCAGUGCUAUGGAUAUCCUUACAUCUCUAUCAUUUACCACAGCUUGAUGGAGUACACUUUUAUACUUCCCGUGGCUCAGAAUCUUGCAUAAAUUUAAAUUUAUAUCCGAUCAAUUAGGAGAAAUAACGAUUUAGUUCAGAUCAAUUUUGGAAAAAGAUUGAAAACCAAUUAUAAAAUGAAAGGUCAAAUUAUGGAUUUGGUCCUUCUACUGUACUAAAUCUAUAUUAACAUGAUGAUGUGGGAAAUUUUCAAAUCAACAUUUAAACGAAAUAGUUGAUGGUGUUAAACAACUUAAUUAACUAAUUAUAUUAUAGAAGUAGAAAGAUGAAAUUAAAUCAAAAAGUAGAGUAAGUAAAUCCAAAAGUUGAAGAUAAAAAAGCAGAAUUUGGGAGUUGUACCUCAAUAUGGUCCCCAAUGUUGGCUAGAAAUGAAUUUGGGAUGGGGUAGAUAUUGACCCAUUUGUCUUUGUGUAGCACUUGAAGCCCCACAGUGUCGUUUUGGAUGAGAAGGGUCAAAAGACCAUGGUCGGAGUGAGCGGGCAACCCCAUGGCGAGUUCUGGCUGUGGACAUGGUGGAUACAAGUUUGCUAUCAUAAUCUGUAGGCAAUUUUCCAGAUUUGAGGCCUUCUCAAUGUAUUUGUCUUCUAACCCCAAGCUUUCUGAUAUUCCUCUCACUAUUUCUUUCAUUACUCCUCGGGUUCUUUUGCUGUAGUCUAAUGCAAUUUCUCUUAUGCCAAAAAAAAAAAAAUCGAGACAAAACGUAUGUUAGAUGAAUUGAUUAUAUCAAUAUCAUAUAUAUAUGUACCUAAUAUGUAUGACAACAUGAGCAACGAUUAAUGGAUGUUAUUAUCGAAUUAUGUUAGAACAAAUACUAAGUAAUUCAGACACAGUACUAUUUAGAAAGUGAAUGAACAAGAGCAAUUAAUGGCAGCAAUAACUAAAUCGCUCACUUUUUAAAUUAAGUUAUUCUAUUUAUUUUGAGAGAGAAAAAGUUACUCUUAAUCUAGUACAAUGAUUUCCUUAAUAUUUAUUCCAAUUAUGUAUAUAUGGCUUCUAUUUGCCUGCUUGGUUCAAUUUUAUUUUUAAUAUAAUUUUUAAAUAAAAAUUUAAAAACUUAUGAAUGGAAUCUAUCCGUACUUAUGAAAUUACUUUCUUUCUCGUGCAAAUUGAUUAAUUAAAACUAUAUUAAAUCAUUUCAUAUUUUUGUACACUUUUCUUUAUAAAAUAUUAUAAAAAGAAUUAUACCUAAUAAUUCAUUGAUAUUAAUAAAUAAAAGUUGUAUGCCAAAUAUUGCAGUUUAUAAUUAUGAAAGAUAAGGAUAUCUUGUCUUAACUUAAUGGAAUGACAGACAUUCUUUUUACAUAGAUUUAAACUGGGUUACUUCUAUUCCCAUUUCUAAUAAUAUUGUAUUAGAAAAAAUAUGGAUAUGUUAUCUUUAAUAUUUCAUUAAACAAUGCUACGUAAUUUGCUUUCUGAAACCGAUCUAAUGGUAUAAAAAGAAAAAACCUGAAGGAAGGGGGAUUGCUGGGUGAGUGAAAGGCAGGAUGCUGAAAAAUCUUGAGAUAAUCUCUCCAAUACAAAAUUUUAUCCACUGAUGGGUUGAAACUUGUCCCAUAUCUUAUAGGAUCCAAUACAUGUUUCCCUUCACUUUCUCCCUUUUCUUCCUCUGUUAGCUCGAAAAAUUCCCUACAAACCUCUAUCAUUGCCUUCAUCAUCCUCUCCGGCACCCCAUGAUUGGUCACCUGAUAAUGCUCAUUUUAUCAAAAAUCUAAAAUUCUUUGAAAAUCAUAACUAUAUAUAGAUAUAUGUGUAUAUAUGUAUUGUACCAUGAAGAAGCCUCAGUCCCGGCAGGCUUUUCCAAGUUCUCGGAUGGUUUUAGACCGUUCAUCGGGAUUACUAGAGAUGAGGAGGGAGAAAUCGAUGGUGGGGAUUGGUUCUUUCGUGUCUGAAACUGGUUCGUGGUUGGGUUGUUUUGGGAAGGUGUAAAUGGAAGGGAUGGAAGAAAGGCCGGGCGAUUCGGAUAGUGCUUUAACGGAUGUUAGCUUCCGUGGUGGUGGUGGGUGAGUAAGAGAUGGUGGUGACGGUGGAGAACCGGUCGGAGCAGUGGUGGCCAUGGGGAGACUGACGACGGCGACGGGAGAGAGGCUGAGACACGAUUCUUGACUGCAAAAACUGAGAAGGGAUGCCCAUGCAUGUUUACAUUUCACGUGUUGUUUAAUACUAAUAAUUCAAUUUGACUUUUGGGUGAUGCCAAAACAACAAAUUUGUCUUUUUUUCUUUUGUUAGUAGCCAACUUGCCGCUAGAAAAUGUCUACAAAUAAUUAAAACAGGUAAUCAAAUUUGAACAGACUCCAGAUUCAAGAAAUAUUCACCAAUGAGUCUUCCAAAAAUUAAAUGGUAAACUUGUACUUGGGCAGUUUCCUUUCAUGAAGUAAAAGAUGUUUAUCAAAUCAUGAACCCUUACCCCUCAUAGGAGGCACUCUUGCUCUAUCAACUUGAAAACAAUUCAAACUAGUUGACUGGUCUGCUGGAGAGCUGAGACACGGUUCUUGACAGCAAACUGGGAAUGGAUUUUCCUGCAUGUUUCUAAAUAACUUUAUCUUUUCUUUUUGGGUGAAGUCAAAUCAAUUAAUUGUCUCUUUCCUUUUGCUAGUUGCCAUAUCCAAUCAUAGUUUCUUUCAUGGCAUACUUUUGAAAUCGGUGCCUAAACUUUCAAAACAUUUUGUUAAAGUUUGGUCAGCAUGUAACACCAGGAGCAGUCAAGAAGCAGGCCCUGCAGGCCAAGCUAAGUAGAAGCUGCUGAAGCAAGUGCAGCUGCUGAUUUUUUUUUCUUUGUUCAUUUUGUAACUGUCGAAACUAUUUUUUAAAAAUAAAAAUAUAGGGUCGACUUAGAAACGAAAAUUGGAGUCGCCACCAAUCUUUUAUUGAGGUGUAAUUGGAUCACCUAAAAAACGAUUUUGGUCUACAAUUUUUAGAAAACGGGUUCGGGAGCCAGUUACGUACGAGGAAGGAUUAACACCCUCGUAACGCUCAAAAUUGGUACCGAAUUAAUUAUUUAAUGUCUUGAGGUCGAAUGAAAAAGAUUAAAAAAGUGAUUCCCCUUUUAAAAUAUUUAUUGGAAUUUAUUAUUUUGAAAACUAAAAAUUUUGGUCAUCUUGCUUCAAUGAAGAAAUUAAAACCCCGUAAGUUAGGGUACGACUCGUUGAAGUUCUGAUGACAGCACACGAAUUUGCUUUUAUUAAAAAUCUCGUCUCGAAAUAACAGAAUGUCUGAUCCAGUGAAUUAGGACACAACACUUUGAAUUCCCAAGAAUAAGCUUUAAUUUUGAAAUGUGUACAAUUUUGUUGGAAAAGAGAUAUUCGGCCACCUAAAUUCAACGAAGAAAAUUGAAGCCCCAUAAGUUAGGGCACAAUUUUCUCGAGAAUCUUUGGAUACCGGGUAUUUUGAAAACUUAUAAAUAGAGCAAUUUCGAUAUUUUAAUGAAACGCAAUCUUUUAAACAAUGUAAUGUGAUUGAAUGCUUGUGUACAACGCAAAAAGGAUUAUUCGAAAAUAAAAUGAACACUAAUGAAUAACAAACAAUUAAUAAACAAAUACAAACAAGCAUAACAACAAUAAUUUCAAUCAUACAUUAUGUAAAUACCCAUACCAACGGCCAAAUAUCAAAUGAAUUAUUAAUAAAAAAAUUUUAAAGAUACACUAAAAAUAGCAAAAGGAGAAAUUUUAAUUUAUAAAUCCUAUGUACAAAAGUUUUAAAAUAAAUUAUAUAAAUGAGUAUAAAAUAGAUUUGAAAUGGAAUAUUGAAUAAUGUUGAAUAAUAGUAUUUGAAAUAAAUUUGAAGCAAAUAAUAUACAUAUAUUAGUUUUACAUAGGUAAUACAUAUAAAGUAAAACAUAAUAGUAAUAAUACAUAUAGAAUGAAAGAUCUAACAAUAAUGUAAAUAAUAUGUAUCAUAAUAUAUAAUAAAAUGCUAUAAACAAAGUAUGUAAGGUAAGAUUUUAAAAGUGAUAAAUUAUACACAUGCAAAAAAAGGGUUUUAAAACUUAUAAUCAUAUUAAAGAAAAGAACUUAAGGUUAAUAGUCAUGAUAAUUCAAAGUCAAUAAUAUAUAUAUAAAAUAAUAGAACGUGAAUUUUGCAAACACAUAUGACUAUACAAGAGUGUUAUAUUUUAAAACGUAGCAUUAUAUUCAUAAGAAGAUUUUGUAGUUAAAAUUCCAGAACAUGUAUAAAUCAUAUUGAAUUUACCAAAAAUAAAAAAAAAUGUAUAAAAAGAUACAUUAUAAGCUUAAAUAAAAAUCGAUCAAAUGAUAGCACAUAAUAAAUUGAAAAUAAUUUAAAAAAUAAAUUGAAAAUAAUAAUAAUGAUAAACUUAAAAUAAUGAUAGCCUAAAAUAAUAAUAUAUGUUAAAAUUAACAUCAAGUUUAAACACUAAAACAUUGUUAAAUUUAAAAUUAAAUAUAUUAAAAAUAAUGGAUGAAUACAUACUUAAAUCAAAUUUAAAGAAAGUCAAGCACAUUAAAACAGUGAGGAUCAAAUUGAACUUAAAACCAUAUUAAAAGGGAAAAAGCGAAAAUAAAUCAAAAUGAAUGCUAAUUGAAAGGCGCGAAUAACUCAGAGGAACUGAUUGGGAAAAUAUCCCCACACCUUGAAACACGUCUCUUUAUUAGGAUUAAAUUGAAAAUUAAACAAGAUUUGAAGUAUUAAUUGAAAAGAAUAAAAAAAUAAACUGAAACAAUUAAAAACAUAGAAGGAUCUAACAUGCAAUUAGAACCCUGAGAUAAAAUGCGCGGAUCCUCCCCGGGUCGUCACCGCGCGGGUCAUGGUCACUGAACGGCCAAAUUGGUGUCGUUUUGAAGCUAUGAAAACUAGCCUCAAACGGUGUCGUUUUGUAUAUUUACUUAAACACAAAAAAAAAACUUGAAACAAUUCGUUUCAGCCCUAAAUCAAAAGAAAGGGAGGCCGCCCCCUUUUUCUACUCUGCUAAGGUUUUGAACCCAGUCCCCCAGGCCGCCGCCAACAACCAGGCCCCUCUAGGGCCUCCAAUCUUUUCCCGAUCUCCGAUGGCGACGGAGUGGGCAAAGCCAAGUAAACUGCUCCUCCUUUAACUCUUUUUUUCUUAUAUCUAUAUGUAUACGAUUAAAAAAUGAAAGAAUAGAAAAGAAAAUUGGAAAGAAGGAAAAUAGAAAGAAAAGAAAAAGGAACCACCUAUUCUCAAUUUUUUUUUUCUUUCGUAUCUUUUGUACAAGCCCAAUUUGCCCAGGGCCUAAUUACAAAAACAAAAACUCAACCCACCUAAACACUGGCCCAAAACCCGAAGCCCAAAUUACAAACAAGCCCAAAUAAAGAAAAAUCUAGCCCAAACCCAAAAACAAAAAAGAAAGAAACAAAGAAACCCUAGACCCUAACCUUAGCCUCUGCCGCCGCACCCCACUUGCCCUGCCACCAUCUCUGCAAGCCGCCGCACUGCCACCACCGCCACUGUCCCAUCGCCACCAACUCUCCCACUUGUGCCUGCAAACAAUAAAGAAAAAAUAGCAAAAUAGCAAAGAGGAGGCUUUAAAAAGCCGAAGCAAAUGUAAUAGGAGGGGGUUUUUUUCUUUCUUUUCUUUCUUUCGGCAAAAGCCGAAUCUGCUGUAAAAGAAAAGGUUUUUUGAGGUUUCAUUCUGAAAUAAAAAUCCAAGAAAAAAGCAAAGAAACACAAAGGUCUUCCUAGUUUUCCAACUUUAUUUAUCUAUUUAUUUGUUUUUCUAUUUUUAAUUUGUAAUAAUAUAUAUAUUAUAAAUAUAUACAUAAUAUAUAAAAAAAGGAAAAAAAUAUACCUUUUCGAAUUUCCGGCCACCGCGUACGGUGGCCGGCGUGACACUGGCGCGACGCCGGAGCAGUGGGCCUUGGCCGGAAUCUGGACUUAGUCCAGAGAGAAUUUUUUUUCUUUCUUCUGUUUUCUUUUUUCAUUUCAAUGCCCAAAUGAUUUUUUUUCUCUAAAAAGAGUGCCUUUUCUACCCUAGUAAAACGACGCCGUUUUGGCCGGCAUUCUUAAGCCCCGAAACGACGUCGUUUUGACUUGGGUCAAAUCGACCCGACUCGUACUGCCUGGGAUCCGAGUGUUUUUGGACCAGAGGGGUUAUUUGCGCCCUCGGUCCUUCCACGUUUGAGGCCGUGUACAAUUGAGUCCUAUCCCUUUUUGUUAUUUGUUUUAAUUUUUCCCCAGAUAUCCUUUUUUCUUACGAUUUGGUCCAUAGACCUUCUGCACAAACCAUGCUAGAACGGCGCCGUUUAAUAAACGAGGGGUUAUUUCCCUCUUUGGUCCUUUGCCCUUUCGCAACCUUCUAUUUUGGUCCUCCUCUGCGCAUUUUAUUAUAGUCUUAACCUUUAAAUUUUAUUUUUAUCCCAAAUUGGCCCAUUUUGUUAUUUUUGUUGUUUUAUUAACUAAUCUAGCUAUUAUUAUUAUAUUUUCCCAUUAUAUAUAUGUAUAUUUACGUUACUAUUAUUAUACCAUUUAGUUUUACAUUGUUAUUGUUAUAUUUUAUUUAUAUUUACUUAUUUAAAUUUUGAAUAUAUUUAUCCUAUUAUUGUUACUAUUAUAACUAUUUAUAUAUACCAUCUUAUUAUAUAUUUAUAUCUUAUUAUAUAUAUCUAUAUAUCUCUUUAUAGACACGUUUUUUAGCUUAUAUACAUACAUACGUUUUGUUAUACAUACAUACAUAUACGUCUAUAUCCAUCAUUUAUUUUUAUAAAAUAUAUGUAUAUACGUCUAUUUUAUAUAUAUAUAUAUAUAUACAUACUUACACUGUUUUAUUUUACGAUAUACAUACUUAUAUCUUUUAUUUUAUGUAAUAUAUAUGUAUGCACAUACCCAUUUUUUAUUUAUAUAUAUACAUAUUUAUACUUUUAUAAUAUAUAUAUAUAUACAUGUGUACAUAUGUGUUUUUAUAUAUAUAUAUAUAUACACAUACUUAUACAUAUUAUUUAUAUUUCAAAAUCUAUAUUUUUCUUACGUAUUUUCUAUAUUUUAUAAUUCAUAUACAUAUGUUUUUUAUAUAUACCGCAAUACAUAUUAGCAUCGUGUUUCAUUUUACCCAAUAUAUCAAAAUCCAUUUCAAAUAAAUUAAAUCUCUUGUUUAGAUAUUUGAAAAGUCGUGCCCUAACUUACUGGGUUUCGAUUUUCACAAUAAAUCUAAACACGUGAAUAUUUUCAAACUCAAGUUUUAAACGAUAUCGGGAAUUAAAAAAGGAUCGUGUCCUAACUUACUGGUCGUGAUCCCUUUUUUAAUCCAAGAUACUUAAAUAUCUUUUAAAUAAGCAUUUUUUAUUCGCGUAUCGAGAAUUCGAGGCAUUGUGUCCUAACUUACUAGAUAUGAUUCUCUUUCUCGAAUAACGUGAAAUAUCCCCCUUUUCCUGAAAUUUUUUCAACGUUUUAAUACAGGGAUCGUAUUUUUAAAAUUCUUCAAAGUUCUCAAUUUUCAACAUUAAGACAUUAAGUAAUCAACUAGGUACCAAUUUUGGGCGUAUCGAGGGUGCUAAUCCUUCCUCGUGCGUAAUCGACUCCCGAACCCGUUUUUCUGAUUUUCGUGGACCAAACUUGUUGUUUUAAUAAAAUCAAACCGUUUAUUAAAAACAACUCCUUUUCGAGGUGAUCCAAUCACACCUCAUAAAAAAGGAUUGGUGGCGACUCCCGUUUCAUUUUUCAAAACCCAAGUCGACCCGUUUUCAUCAAAAAAAAUGGUGUCAGCUUGGCGACUCCACUGGAGAUUUUAAAUAAGAGAGUCAAGCCAUGAGUUGAUUAUUUCUUGGCUUUUUGUCGAAAAUUGAAAACUUGGUUUAAAUGUACGAUCCUUUCAUUGUAUUUCAUCUGUCUUUACUACAAUUUUCAUCAUUGUGGUCUAUGAUUGCUCUGUUUGUUUAAAUUUUGGUAUCUUUCUGCACAUUGCAUUGCAUGACUGUUGGUCACACCCUUUUAAGCUGGAGUGAGAAGCUACUCCUUCGUGAGGUUUUCACCUCCGUGCAGGAUAGUGGAUCGCUUUCGGGAUACAUCCGUACCUAUGUCUUCGUGAGAUUUUCAUCUCCGUGCAGCCAUAGGGAAAUGUAUUCCCUUGAACCGAACUCGGUCUAUAUGAGCCUAUAAUGGGUGAAGAUCGAGGAAUCUGCUGGUUCGGGUACCCUUACUUUAGAGCCAAACUACAUGUAGAAGACCUUAGGGACCCAUCCUAGGUAGAGCCACUCCAAACCCCUAAUGGUACCCGACUAGGUACUUUUGUUUUCCUUGCUUGCUUUUGUUUUCUACUAACCCCUCUUGUUUUGUUUUGAUUGCAUUGCAUUUGCAUCUUAAGAAAGAGAUAUUGAUUCAAGUUUGAUUACUAACUUAGAAAGCUUGUCAUCGAAAAUGGAUUCCUUGACAAAGUGGAAAACAAUAUGGCUGCCUGAAUAUAUUCUGAGAAACACAAGAAGGGCGAUUGAAGAGUUCGUGACCUUGCUUCAUGGCCUGAGGAUUCAAGGCGAUUGUCUAAGGGCCAUCGACGUUUCAACUCCCUUGAAGAAGCUGACGAGCUUUAUGAAGAUGGGCAGAUGAUGGAUCGGGACCAAGAUCAAGAAAAGGAGCUAGCAGUGGCAUCUAUUGGGAAUUGGCGAGAUUAUCUCAAACAUGCGAAUGAAGAAAAAGAUCAAUGUUUUCUCUUGGAAUAUAAGGGCGAAGCCGUACAUGCAUCUUCUUUAUGUAAAGGAAUUUGCUUUCCAGAAAAGUUUUCUAAAUGUAAUUGAAUCGGAUUCAAUGCCUUUUUAGGCAUUCAUUUCAUGCAUUUGCAUUACAUGACAUUACAUGUAUUAAAAUCCAUUAAAAGAGUCUAAUUGAAUAAGUUUAUUUCAUCUAGUCAAACUAACACCCUUACGGUAUCCAAGCAAAGACUAGAGAAAAUGGAACAAAGGUUUGAGAAAUUAGAGCGAAUGCAAAUACAGAUGCAAGAGCAAUUGACCAAAUUUCAACAGGAAAUGAGAGAUCAAAUGCUAGAAUUGCAGAGGGCUAUGAUGAGCUAGUUCAACCGACUGCUAGCUGGAGAGUCAGAAAAGAAGAAAGACUCGAUGGUCCACUUUGGGGUUGAUAAUGAGGAUCUUGCCUAUUCCCCAGUUUGUAUUCCGAUAAGUGCCCAGGUCCAGCCAGAUGGGCGUCCACAAGGGGCACUCUUUACUAUCAGAUCCCAACAAUAUCAGACUGGUACAUCGACACCAAUGAAUUGCCUGACAGGCCCAAGAUUCAAUCUGAGGAACAAUUUAGCUAAUCUUGUCGCUCGUGUUGAUCCAGUAGAAAUGAAACAAGUGAGGGCAGAGUACCCAGAUACUAUAAAAGCCCUAAGGAAGAAGGGGAAUAAAGGGGAUAAUCCAAACAGAUACAACAAGAGCCACUCAAAACCCAUCACUGUGGGCCGGCCUAAGACAGAAACCAUCAGACAUCAGAGUCCUUUAAAGCAAGACUCUGGAGUGAAACCAGGUACUGAUAAGCUCCAGUUCACACCAAUUCUGAUGUCAUAUAAAAAGCUGUAUCAAAGCUUGUUCGAUGCGCAUGUUGUUGCUCCUCAUUACUUAAAACCCAUAAAACCUCCGUAUCCCAAAUGGUAUGACAUGAACGUCCAAUGCGACUACCAUGUGGGAAUUACGGGGCAUUCAAUAGAGAAUUGCAUUGCCUUCAAGAAACUGGUUGAAAAACUCAUUAACAUGGAUGUUGUCAGAUUUGAUGACCCAUCUAGCGCGGAAAAACCACUACCCAAUCAUAUUGAUAAUAGGGUAGACAUGAAGGCAGGAAGGGGAUUAGGUAUUUCUGAUUCAGGAGGAAACCAAGGAAAGACAAGGAACCGUUGUGAGUUCCAUCACGAGAAGGGGUACGAGACUCAAGAGAGUGUAAAAUUCAAGGUCUUGGUUCCAGGCAUGAUGGACUAUAAGGAAAUUAAAGAGCAGAAAAACAUACACACAAAGUUGGCAAGUGUUCACACCAAUGACAUAUAUGAAGACACGAAUGAAAAAAGACCUUGUUAGAUAUCUGCCCUUAUAAAUCUGGAGUGUUCUAAGCAAUUAGCUUGUGAAAGAAGUCUCUGUAGUAUUUAGAGCCUACUUAGAGUAAUAUUCAGAACAAACUUAUUGCUUUUAGCCUAGAAGCAAUAAGAACUCUUUUUUGAAAUAGGGUCAUGUCUAAACGUCGUUAUUUUAAUGAAAUGCAUCUUUGCGAUCAUUUUUGAGCCAAUAUUCUUUCAUUCUUUAUGAAUAAUUAUUUUUAUUCUUUUAUUCUUUCUUCCAAAUCAUUCAUUCAUUCAUUCAUAAUCAUACUGUACAGAUAAUUAUUCUUAAAUUUAUACAUUCUUUAUAUAUUCUCUUGUACCUACAAUAGGUCCCCAGAUAUCAAUGACAUGAGUGACGCUGCUACAGACUCAGAAUCUCCUUUUGAGCGAGACAUGUGUUUAGAGGGAUCUCAUGACUUUGAAGAUAACAUAGAUUGUAGCCUAUCUCCGGACUUAUUGAGGAUGGUAGAACAAGAUGGAAAUCAGAUCCUACCUUACAAAAGAAUCAAUAGAUCCAUGACUUCUCCCUAUGUAGGGCAUAGAUGUUAUUGAGCCGAUCGUGCUAAAAGUUUCUGGCGGUCAACAAUUCAUUUUUGUAGUCGUCGAUUACUUCACUAAAUGCGUGGAAGUUGCUUCAUAUGCCAAUGUCACGUGUUCCAUAUUUUAGUACAGUGGAAUCUCUCAUGUAUGCUAUGGUUUUCUCACUUCCAGAUUUAUCAUAUGUAGUUAGUGCAGUUAUUAGAUACAUGGCUAAUCUUGGUAAAGAACACUGGAAAGUAUUUCAGUGGGUUUUUAGAUACUUAUGAGGUACUACUAAUGUUUGCUUAUAGUUUGGAAGAACUAGAGAUGGAGUCAUUGGGUAUGUUGAUUCUAAUUUUGCUAGAGACCUUGGUAAAAGAAUAUCUCUUACAGGGUAUGUCUUUACUAUUGGGGGUUGUAAUAUCUGUCGAAACCAAUUUUAAAUUUUUGAAAAACAAAAAUUUUUAAUAGUCGACUUAAAAAUGAAAAUUGGGAGUCGCCACCAAUCUUUUAUUGAGGUGUGAUCGGAUCACCUUGAAAAUACUUUUAAGUCUGCGAGUUUUGAGAAAACAGGUUCGGGAGUCGGUUACGUACGAGGAAGGGUUAGCACCCUCGAAACGCCCAAAAUUGGUAUCGAAUUGAUUGUUUAAUGUCUUAGUAUCGAGAAUUUGAAAAGGUUUUAAAAUACGAUCCUUUGAAAAGAAAAUUUGAAUGAAAUAAAUUGGAUGAUAAGACGCACUUAUUUCGCAGAAAUAAAUUGCCAUACUCUCUGAGUUAGGGUGCAACAAUUCAAUCUUCGAAAUUAAAUUUCCCCCUUUUUUAGAAAAUCAUGUGUUUUAAGUAGGUUAUUCGAUUAUUUAAGUCAAUCGAGAAAUCAAAAUCCGAUAAGUUAAGGCUCAAUUUCUCGAAAUUCCUAAACAUCAAACAUUGCCUUUUAUUUUAAAAUCGAGAUAACAAAACGUUGUAUCCAGUAAGUUAGGAUCGAACAUUUUGAAGUCUCAAAAGCUUUGUUUAAAAUUUGAAUGGUUUUACCAAAAUAAACACUUGGCUAUUCAAAUUCAUCGAGAAGAAUUGAAACCCAGUUAGUUAGGGCACAAUUCUCUUGAGAGCUAUGAACACCAGGUCCUUUCGGAAAUUAUGCAAUAGAAUGAUUGUUGUGCUUUAAAAAUGCAAUCUUACAAAUGGAAACAUGAUUGAAUAGCAAUACAUUGAAGAUAAAUAGCAACAAUAAUUUUAAUCACAUUAUACAAAUACCGAUAUAAAUAAUUGAAAGUUAAAUGAAUUAGCAAUCAAUUUCAAAAGACACAUUAAGGUAAAAAAAAUAAAGACCUAAAAAUAUUAUCUCUACAAUGGUUUCUUUUUGUUUUAAAGGAAUAGCAAUAUAUAUGUGCUUGGAAAUGGAUUUAAAAUAAAAUUAAGAAUAAUGUUAAAUAAAGUAAAUUUGUUUGAAUGAAAUUUGAAAUGAAGAUUAAAAGAUGUAUAAGCAUGGAUUUAGAAUAAACAUUUCAUAAACAUAUCGUAAAUAAUAAUAUGUAAUAAUAUACAUUGGAAUGAAUGCAACAUUGGAAUAUUUUGAAUAAGUAGAAUAUAUAGAAAUUGGUACAAAAGAGUAUAAUUUAAAAUCAUUGAUAGAUUAUACAAAUUAAAUUAUUAUAAAAAUAAUAUGAUACAUCAUUGAUAGAUUAUACAAAAUAAAUUAUUAUAAAAAUAAUAUGAUACAAUACGAAUACAUAAAAAAAUUAAUGUAUCGUAAUAAAACAACGUUUUUGCAAUAAUAUAUAACAAAUAAAAAACAAAUGUAUGAUAGUAAAAUUUAAAAUACUAAAGCAAUAAAUUUAAUAUACAAAUAGAAAUACAUAAACCAAAUUGAGUAUUAUCUACAAAAGUUUUGAAAUCAUGUAAUAUAAUAAUAAAUAUGAAAAGAGAUAAAUAACAGAUAUAACUAAUAUAAAAACAUAUGAAUACUAUUAAAUACUAAAAAAAAUUAUAAAAUUAAACAGAUUACUAAAAAUAAUAGUAAACAUAACAAAAAAGAUUUAAAUUAAAAUGUAGAUAUUUGAAGGUUUAAAUUGGCAAUCGAUUCAAAACCGAGGGACUAAAGCAAUAAUUACACGCAUGGAUCUGGGCAUUCAAAAUCAAACAUGGGAAACGACCCCGUUUGAACGUGGAUCCAUUUGGAAUCGAGACCAAAUAUGCGAUGCAAAUUAAAAAAAUAAUGAAAAUCAAAUUGAAACAACACAAAAUGCAAAGGGGCUCAUUGCGCAAAAAUCCCAUCAGACCCAAAACGCGCGGGUCACAGCCACCUCUGGGUCGGGUCAUCGGGUAUGGGCCAAUACGGCGCCGUUUUGGAGCCACUGAUCAGACUCCAAACGGCGUCGUUUCAUACAUCACGUAAGGGCCAAAAAUAAAACCCUAAUCUGGUAGCCACCGCUUCAUUUUUCAAAACGAAAAGAAAAAAUGAUAAAUAAAAGAAAAAAAAGAGAGCCCAAAUGCUCACCUCUCUGCGCCGCUUCAACACCAAAAGACAGUGGCCUUCCGAACCCCAUGCACGACUCAGAUUGCGACGGAGAGAACACAAGGCCGGUCACCAGGUACGCUCACUCUCUCUAAACCCUCCCUUUUUUGUUAAUAAUCAAACGUCCAAACACAAAGGAAAGAAAAAGAAACUUAAAAAAAACAGAACCAAAAAUCGAAGCAAAAGUUGAAUCACCUUUUCUAUUUUUUUGAAAUUUCUCUGAGUUUUUUUUUUGUAUUUCAUAUGCGUAUGUGUUCUUUACAAAUUGAAAAAUGGCUUUUAUAUAGCCGAAUCGAAAAGAAAAACAAAUAAAAAAUACAUCAUUUUUCUCUGCCCUCUUUUCCUGCUUCUUUUUGUGUUGUGGGUUCUUGCAAGUGUACGGAGGCCAUACUGUGACGUGGCAUGGCGCAGAGACCAGCUGGAGGUGCAUGGCAUGGAGCGCGUAAAGAGGAAGCUACUGUUGCGGCGGUUGGAGGGCAGUGAUGCUAGGGUUUCCCCUUCUGUUGUAAUUGGGUUUGGGCUAGGCUAAUUUGGGCUUUAGGGUUUUAAUUCUUAUUGGGCCAUUCGGGCCAUUGUAAUUUUGGGUUUAAAUUUUCUGUAAAUGGACUAUUUUUGGUUUUUAUCAUUUGGGUUUGUUUUGCUGGUAUGGGCCUGGGCAAAAAUGGGCUCUUACAGCUGCCCCUCUUUGCUCAUUGUCGUGUAACGGGAAUGAAGCAAAGACUAAAAAGGGCCAAUUUUUCCCGGUCGUGCUAGACCUUGGUAGUUCUUUUUCUUCAAGAAACCUCAUUCCAUCCUAUUGCAUCUUCAGAGGUAUAGGAAUUGGUGCCUCGAUCUACUCCACUGUAACUCUGGGGAGAUAGGAUUUGUAACUCAUAACAAAAUUUGUUAUCUCUAGUCGGCAAGACUUGAUGCGAUCUGCUCUAUUGCAACUUCAGAGAGAUAUGAUCUAUUAAUUUAAUCCGCUCCAUUAUAACCUAAGGGAGAUAGGAUUAUCGACUUCAAUCUGCUCCACUGCAACCUCAAUGAGAUAAGAUUUGCUUCUUCAGUCUACCCUACUGUGACUUCAGGGGGAUAAGACUUAUUUUCUUAGUCUGCUCCACUGCAACCUCAGGGAGAUAAGACCUGAUGCGAUCCACUCUACUGCAACUUCAGAUAGAUAAGAUAUAUUACUUUAAUCUGCUCCACUACAACUUCAGGGAGACAGGAUUAUCGGCUUCAAUCUGCUCUACUGUAACUUCAGGGAGAUAAGAUUUGUCAUCUUCGAUCUGCCACACUGCAACUUUAGGGGGAUAAGACCUGCUUACUCAAUCUGCUUCGCUGCAAUUUUAGGGAGAUAAGACCUGAUGCGAUCCACUCUGCUGCAACUUCAGAGAGAUAAGAUCUAUUACUUUAAUCUGCUUCACUAUAACUUCAGGGAGAUAGGAUUAUCAGCUUCAAUCUGCUUCCUUACACUUGAAGAUAAGAUUCGCCGUCUUCGAUCUGCUCCGCUACUGCUUAGGGAGACAAUAUCUGUAAUUUCUAACCUAUUCCACUGCUGGCCAGGGAUAUAGGACUUGUGGCUUAAAUCUGCUUCCUUACUGUUGAAGAUAAGAUUUGUCGUCUUUGAUCUGCUCCGCUACUGCUUAGGGAGACAAGAUCUAUAAUUUCCAACCUAUUCCACUGCUGACCAGGGACAUAGGACAUGUGGCUUAAAUCUACUUCCUUACACUUGAUGAUAAGAUUCGCCAGGGAGAUAAGGCUUGGUGGCAUAAAUCUGCUUCCCACUAUCUUGGAAAUAUAAGAUUUUCCAUCCUCGAUCUGCUCCACUACUACUUAGGGAGAUAAGAUCUACAAUCUUCAACCUACUCCACUGCUGCUCAAGGAGAUAAGGCUUGGUGGCAUAAAUCUGCUUCCCACUAUCUUGGAAAGAUAAGAUUUUCCAUCCUCGAUCUGUUCCACUACUGCUUAGGGAGAUAAGAUCUACAAUAUUCAACCUACUCCACUGCUACUCAGGGAGAUAAGGCUAGCAAUUUCACCUAUCUGUUCUCUGGGGAACAUGACCUGUAUAAUUCAUUUAUGAACUUAAUUAUGCCUAGUGAUAAGGAUGCCAUGAUUAGAAUGAAUCAAAUGCUCCUAACUAGACAUGUGUGAAUGGUAUUUGAAUUUUAUUUUCCGAGACUGAUCCCGCUUAAGAUGUCAUUGCUCGAAUUUUAUUAAGGCUUUGUCACUGAAGUGCUACAACACCUUCCUUCUCGACUGGCGUUUUCUGAAGAAACAUUUAGCUAGGUUGCUCCCCACUAUAAACCUCAAAGUUAUAUCCACUGGGGUACAAAAUUUGUACUAUCAUUCUCCCACUAUAAUUCAAUGGUAGAAAUAUGACUUUUCCUCAAUCCUAUUUUAUCACAAUUCAAGGAUAGAGGAUCUUAAUCUUUCUAGUCUCCUUACACCAUUUCUACGGUGUCGUACCAAAGACUCAUGCACAAAUGGAUGCUCUCUUCUUCGAGGUAACCUCUUCUUAUUGUCGGAUGAUCAUUGCUUGCUCGUUUAUGGCAUCUUGUCAAUCAAUGCAUUUGACAACAAAAUCCAAAGAGAAAAUCUAAAUUUAGACUCUUCCUUCUCAAAUUUCCAACCUUUAAAUUUGGUGCGUUCUAAAUAAUAGUCCUGUUUCAGGUUCCUGUAUUAUUUAUAAACUUUUCAGAGUAAUAUGCAAAACUUCCUUUGUGAAAUUUUUAUUAGUCCAUUGAUCAUUAUUCCAAUGCAACAUGCUUGCAAAAAAGGGGCAUGACAAUGGAUAAGAAUAAAGUUGGUUCUAAGCAUAGCUCAAAAUGAAUAAAUUAUAAAAAACAGUAAAGAAGGAUAAUAAAGAAAUUGAUUGGGAAUGUAUAUCUUGGAAAAGGAAAAAAAGUAUUCCAAGAAUAACAAAUUCAAUAUGAGAAUUGGGUGCCCCAGAUAUCACAACUUGAACUUCUCUGUACAAACUUUCUGAAGACCAUUCUGAAUUUGACAUGUGUUUAGGAGAUCUACAUUGCUUUGUCGAUGCCCCAAGAUGUCGUCUAUCCUUUCCUGUUGAUUCGAGCAUAGCAAGAUCACCAUAUGCCCCAAUAUGAUCAAAAUUCGAGUUGCUCUGAUCACCUCAUGCCCCAUUUUAAUCAAUAUUUGAGACUCAAAUCCCCUUUGGCCUAAAGUGCCCCUUUGCGGGUUUUCCCCUUAGCCUAUCCAUUUUAAUUUUUCAUUUUUUCAUUUUUCAUUUUUUUCUUUGACUCAAAGUGCCCUUUGCAGGUUUUCACGAAGUAUUUCUUGACUGGAUCCGAGUUUAUAGGAUUAACAAUCUCACUCAGGAUCAGUGCUCCUCUGAAAAAGAUCUUUACAACGUAAGGACAUUCCUGGUUUGGCAUUCAUUUCCUUCUAGAAUCCUUUCGUUGAGGAAGGAUCUUUUUUAACAUCCAACCCUUUCGUGGAAUUCUCUAAGACGACCUUGUUUAUCAUAGGCUCGUAUCAUUUGUUUCUGGUUCAUCCGACCCUGAUGAAUAGCUUUUAACCCUGAUCACAUCACGAUUGGACCCUUCCAACUCUAAUACCCAAAGAGAGGGGAUUUCAAUAGGUAGAACUACCUCAAUCCUGUAAACCAAAGAGAGGUGCUGCCCCUGUACAGAUGUUCGACAAGAAAUGAGGGUAAAUGGUAACUUCCCAUGCCAGUCCUUGCAAAUCUCAGUCAUUUUUCCUUAAUUCGAUACAUUGAUGAACUAUGGUAUCUGAUUUUGAAUUGAUCACAGACCUCAGCUAUCAUACUAACAUUCAUGAUGUCGUCUUCUCUAUAACUCUAUACCGGCAUAUGAUGACAUGGACGCAUGAAGCAGCCUCUACCAGUUUGACAAAGUAACUAAUGAUCUCAAACAUGCAGCAAUGCUCAUUAGAAACCUUCGAUGAUGAUGACGGCCAUGCCCCACUUUGCUCAAAAUUUGAGUCGCCCUUUUUGGGUUUUCAACUCAAAACCACAUUUGGUCAUAAAGCGCCCUUUGCAGGUUUUCGCCUUGGCCUCUCCUUUUCUUUUCUUUUUUCUCUUUUUUAUAUUUUUAUUUUGACUUUGAUUGAUUUUUUCUUUUUUUGCUUUUGACUUUGAUUUUUUUUUUUGGAUCUGAACUCUUGAGAUUAGGCAAGUCCUUGUUAUCCCUUUCGAAGAAUCUUCUUUAAUAUCAGAUUUCCUUUAUAGAGCCUUUUGGGGCGAAACUACGACUGAAAAUUUUUGAUCUUCCUCUUCCAUCAGGAUAAAAUCCAACAACAUUUUGAAGGUAUAGAAACUCGACUUCAAAUGGGCAAAGCUAUGUUGAGUCAACGAGAAAGGCAUUGCCCCGGCAAAGGAUUGCAUCAUUCAUACUGCAAAUUUUUGACAUUACGCUGUUGUGCAGAUUUCAUUAUCAGCGGUUAACCCCGGCAUAUCCUGGUAGAACCAUACAAAGACAUCUUUGAACUCCAGAAUAACUUAAUGAGGUCUCACUUUAUCUUUGUGGUCAUGUCAAUUCCAAUCUUCACCCAGCUCACAAUUUCUAAUGGUUCCUCGUGAUGAAGGAUCUGUCUAUCCUAUUGUUCUACCAUCAUCAACAGGUACGAAGAUAAGCUACGAUCUAUGUCAUUUCCAAAGUUAUGAGAUUCCUCUAAACAAAUGCCUCGCUCAAAAGGAGAAUCUAGAUCCGUAGUAGAGUCAUUCACGUAAUUGAUAUCUGGGGACCCAUAAUAAGUACCGAAGAAUAUACAAAAGAAUGCAUAAAUUCAUGAAUAAUUAUUUGUACCAUAUCAUUAUGAAUGAAUGAAUAAUAAUUUAGAAGAAAAUCCAAAAGAAUGAAAGAAUCCGGAAUUGUUUGUAAAGAAUGAAAAUAUUGGCUCAGUAAUAAUUGCAAAGAUGUAUUUCAUUAAAAUAACAACAUUCAGACAUGAGCCUAUUUCACAAAGGAAUUUCUAUCAUUUCUAGGCUAAAAACAACAAAAAUGUUCUGAACAUUACUCUAGAUAAGCUCUAAAAACUACAGGGAUUUCUUCUGCAGUCUAAUUGCUUAGAACACUCCCAGGGUUAUAAGGGCAGAUAUCUAACAAGGUCCCUUUCAUUUGUGUCUUCAUAUAUGUCAUUCAUGUGAACGUUUCCCAACACCUUUCAUACAUUGUAUUCACUCCAUUAUCAAUCAUGAUUGGGUAGCGGGCUUUCUGCACUAGAUGAGCGAUCAAGCUUGACAAUACCCAUCUUGAUGAGUCUUUCAACUUGCUUUUUGAAGGCAGUGCAAUUCUCUAUUGAGUGCCCCGUAAUUCCCGCAUGGUAGUCACAUUGUACGUUCGCAUCAUACCAUUUGGUAUAUGGAGGUUGUAGAGGUUUCACAUGAAAAGGGGAGACAACGCGUGUAUCAAACAAAUUUUGAUACAGCUCUUUAUACGACAUCAGAAUUGGUGUGAACUGGAGCUUCUCAGUACUUGGUUUCACUCUAGAUUCUUGUCUCAAUGAACCUUGUUGACUAGCGACCUAUUUACCUGGAUGACUUACUGACCUUGAGUAACCUAUGUUGUUCACUUCAUUUUCUCUUCUUCUUGAGAUUGACCUCUUAUUACUCUCUUCCACCUCAAUUUUUUCGGUCCUUAUAGCAUUCUCAAUCAUUUCACCAUUCAUCACUAUGUCAGAAAAGCUUUUUGUUACACUUCCUAACAUAUGCGUGAUGAACGGGGCCUUCAGUGUAUUGAUGAAGAGCAUUGUCGUCUCUUUCUCCAAGAGGGAUGGCUGAACCUGGACUGCAACCUCCCUCCACCUCUGUGCAUACUGCCUAAAACUUUCAUUCGAUUUCUUUUCCAAAUUUUGUAAAGUGAUUCUAUCGGGAACCAUAUCUGUCACAUGACUGUAUUGUUUCAUGAAUGCCUAUGCUAGGUUCCUCUAUGAACCAAUCUCGGUACGGCUCAACUGAUUGUACCAUUUCGACGCUGCUCCAAUGAGGCUAUCCUGAAAACAAUGUAUUAAUAGCUGAUCAUUGUUAAUAUACCCAGUCAUUCUCCUACAGAACAUGGUGAUAUGGGCUUCUGGGCAACUAGUCCCACUAUAUUUCUCAAAUUCAGGCAUCUUGAACUUGUGAGGGAGUACUAAGUUGGGAACCAAGCUCAGAUCUUUUGCAUCGAUUCCAUGGUGACUAUCGGCGCUUUCCAGGGCUUUGAAUUUUUCCUUCAACCAUUUACACCUAUCUUCCCACUGUUUUGGCAAUUUCGCAUUCGCUUUUCCUUCUUCAGUUGCUUCAUCGAAAUCCAGGACGACAAGAUUAACCGUAUUAUCACCAGGGUUAGGACCUGAUUCGGCCAGAAAGUUCAUCGGUAUUGAAACAUCGGUUUGAAACUGCUGAGGCCCAAUUGAAAUAGAGGAUCUGCGCGGAGGUACCUCAGUUUUAAUCUGCGCAUGCAGAGGCAUAAAGCCUAGAGGAUAGAUAGGUCUAUCCUUGUCUUCUUCUUCAUCAUUUACCAUAGGGUCUUUCCCCUUAUUUACACCUUUAGUCAGUAGAUGGGUCAAUUUAGCCAUCGCAUAUUUUUGAGUCUUGAUCAAUUUUUCCAUCAUGUCUUCUUGAAUUUUAUCUAGCCGCUCUUGCAUUUGUACUUGUAACCGUUGUUGACACCAUUUUUUUGAUGAAAACGGGGUCGACUUGGAUUUUGAAAAUGGAAACGAAAAACGGGAGUCCCCACCAAUCCUUUUUGAUAAGGUGUGAUCGGGUCACCUUGAAAAGUGGUUGUUUUUAAUAAACGAUUUGAUUUUAUUAAAACAACGGUUUUGGUCCACGAAAUUCAGAAAAAUAGGUUCGGGAGUCCGUUACGCGCGAGGAAGGAUUAGCACCCUCGAUACGCCCAAAAUUGGUACCUAGUUGAUUACUUAAUGUCUUAGUGUCGAAAAACUAAAAACUUUAAAGAGAUUUAAAAUACGAUCCUAAAAAAAACUUGAAUGACAUGGAUUAAAAUUUAAGAGGAUAUUUGGCUAUUUGGUUAAACGAGAAAUCGAAACCUAGCACAUUAGGGCACAUUUCCUCGAAUUUCCAAACGCAAAAUAUUGUCUUAUUUCGAAAUUUGAAAAGGAUAUUUAGCUAUUUGGUUGAAUGAGAAAAAUCGAAACUCAGCACAUUAGGGCACGUUUCCUCGAAUUUCCAAACGCAAAAUAUUGCGUUUAUUAUUUUUUAGAAAAUCCUCAUCUUGAGAAAAUGACGUGUCAUAUCCAAUGCGUUAGGGCACAACGUAUCGAAUUCCCAAUACGAGAAUAAAUGCCAAAAAAUUACUUAUUUAAAAAGAUAUUUAAUUAUCUCGGGUUUAGUAAAGGGAUCAUACCCAGUAAGUUAGGACACGAUCUUUUAUAAAUCCCCAGAUCGUUGAAAAUUUCAGUUUGAAAAGAUUCACGUAUUUAGAUUUAUUGUGAAAAUCGAAACCCAGUAAGUUAGGGUACGACUUUCUCAAAUCUAAACACGAAAUUUUGUUUAUUCAGAAGUCAUGAUUCAUACAUUAAAUGGAAUAAUUUAACACGAAAUAGUAGAAAUAAGAUACAAUGUUAAUAUGCGUAACUAAACAAAGAUGAAUACAAUGAUGUAAAAAUAAUACGAGUAAUAACAACGAAAAUAAGAUAAAUAAAAAGGAGAAAUCAAGAACAUACGAAAUAAAAAUGUAUACAAACAAAUAAAAUUGAAGCAUUCCUUCAAAUCAAUGAUGAAAAUGAAAUAAAUAAAUAAAUGAAUAAAAUUAUAAAAAAGAAUAUAUAUAUGNNNNNNNNNNNNNNNNNNNNNNNNNNNNNNNNNNNNNNNNNNNNNNNNNNNNNNNNNNNNNNNNNNNNNNNNNNNNNNNNNNNNNNNNNNNNNNNNNNNNNNNNNNNNNNNNNNNNNNNNNNNNNNNNNNNNNNNNNNNNACAUAUAAAUAUAUAUACUUAUAAAAAUUUAGAAAAUAUGUAUAUAGAUAUGAAUAAAAAAAAUGAGCGUUUAUGUAGAUAUUAAAUAAGUUAGAAAAAAAUAUGCAUACAUGUAUAUUUAUAUAAGCUAUUAUACAAUAAUAAUAAUAUGAUAAGACAUAUAUAUCUAAAAUUUACAUAAGUAAAUAUAAAUAGAAAUAUAAUGCUAAUAACAAUAAUAUUAAUACUAAUAAUAAUAGUAAGGAUGAUAAUAAUAAUAAUAAUAAUAAUAAUAAUAAUGAACAAAAUAAUAAAAUUGCUAAAAAGACUAAAUCAAAGUAAAAACAAAAUUACUGGGCGAAUUUGAAAUAAAAAAGACGAAAAGAACCAAAUUGCAACGCGCGCAAAAAAGGGAGGACCGAAACAGUAAAAUAACCAAAGUCCAAAACGCGGCGCUUCAGUGGACCAAAUUGAAACCAAAAUAAAACUGCGUGGCUGAAUUAAAAUAAGGGAAAAUAACUAAAAAGGGCCAAAUUGCAACGCGUUACAAAGUCGAAAGGACUGCGCGAGCAAAUAUCCCCUUUAAAGAAAACAUGUGGAUCCUCCCCUAGGGUCGGGUCACCGCGCGGGUCAGGGGCCUCAAAACGGCGUCGUUUUGUACUCUUUAUAAAAACCAAAUUUUUUUUUAAAUUUUCAUUUUCUCUUCUCCUCCAGAAAAAAAAACCAAAAAAUUUCCUCUCAAGUCUCUCUCUCCCUCCCUCUCAGCCUAGAAUUCGGCGAGGAGAGCCGCCGUCACGCCGUCGUCCCGCUAUCGCGCCGGCCACCGUGUAAAAUUCAAAAAAAGUAUUUUUUUUGCUCUUUUUUUUACUUCUAUAUGUCAUAUAUAUAUGAAUAAUAAAAAAUAAAAAUAAAAAAAGGUUAAAACAUCUAAUCAAACGAAAAUAAUAAAAUAAAAAAAGCCAGAAAUCACCUUGAAACUUAGUUUUUUUCUUUUUAUUGAUAUAUGUUUUUUUACAAAAACGGAAGAAGAGAGCCCCCCCUUUUACAAGUGAUUUCCUAUGGCUUUAUAGCCAAUAUUUUUGUCUAUAUUUUUUUACUUGUCAUUUCUUUCUCUGAUUUUGCAGGCAAGUGGUGAUGGUGAUAGAGCAAGUGGGCUGCGGUGGUGGCAGUGGCGUGCGUCACUUGCGCUGAUGGAGGCGGUGUCGGGCUAGAAGACGCUAGGUGCGGCGCACCUAGGGUUUGAAAAUUUUGUUCUUUUGUGUUGUGGUUUGGGAUUUUGGGCUAGGGUUAGGUUAGUGGGCCAUUCGGGUUUUGGGCUUGGUUUGUAUUUGGGUUAGGCUGUUGGGUUUAUUUUGGGUCUAUUAUUGGGCUAUUCGGGUUUGGGUAGGUUUAGUUUGGGAUUUACUUGUUUUGGGUUUUGGGCCCCGGCUAAAAUUAGGCUUUGUACAGCUGCCCCUCUUUGCUCGUUGUCGUGUAACGAGAACAGAGCAAAUACUAAGAAAGACCAAUUUUGCCCGGUCUCACUGAUUAUUGACUUGCUCUGGUGCUCAUCUUCUUCCAAUAGCAUCAUUCCAGUCCGCUGUGUCUUGUCGCUUCAAUCCACUCUACUGCACUUCAGGGAAAUCUGACUUGUAGCUUCAAUCUUCUUCGCAGCAACUUCAGGGGGACGAGAUUUGUGGUUUUAGUUUGUUCCACUACAGCAUCAGGGAGAUAAGACUUGCUAUGAUAGUUUUAAUCCGACCUACUGCAACUUCAAAGGUAUAGGAUUCAUCAUUUUAAUCCGCUCCGCUCCAACUUUAGAGAGAUAAGACUGGAUACGAUCUGCUCUACUGCAACUUCAGGGAGAUAUGAUUGGCUUCUUCAAUCUGCUCCAUUGCAAUGUCAAGGAAGUAUGAUUCGCCGUCGUGGCUUCAAUCUAUUCCACUACACCGCCAGGGAAAGUAAGAUUUGCCGUUGUUGCCUCAAUCUUUUAAUUGCAAUGUCGGGGAAAGCAAGAUUCGCCGUUGUAGCUUCAAUCUAUUCCACUACACCGCCUAGGAAAGUAAGAUUCACUGUUGUGGCCUCAAUCUUUUAAUUGCAAAUGUCGGGGAAGUGAGAUUUGCCGUUUAGCUUCAAUAUGUUCGACUGCACCGCCUGGGAAAGUAAGAUUCGUCGUUGUGGCCUCAAUCUUUUAAUUGCAAUGUCGGGGAAGUGAGAUUCGCCGUUGUAGCUUCAAUCUGUUCCACUGCAUCGCCUGGGAAAGUAAGAUUCGCCGUUGUGGCCUCAAUCUUUUAAUUGCAAUUUCGGGGAAGCGAGAUUCGCCGUUGUAGCUUUAAUAUGUUCCACUGUGCCGUCUGGGAAGUAAGAUUUGCCAUUGAAGCUUCAAUUUGUUCCACUGCACCCUCUGGGAAGUAAGAUUCACCGUUGUGGCCUCAAUCUUUUAAUUGCAAUGUCAGGGAAGCAAGAUUCGCCGUUGUAGCUUCAAUCUAUUCCGCUGCACCACCUGGGAGGUAAGAUUCACCGUUGUGGCCACAAUCUUUUAAUUGCAAGGUUAGGGAAGCAAGAUUCGCCGUCGUAGCUUCAAUCUGUUCUACUGCACCGCCUGGGAAGUAAGAUUCGCCAUUGUGGCUUCAAUCUAUUUAAUUGCAAACUAUGGUUUCUUCGAUCUGCUUUGCUGUCAGUUCAGGAAGGCAAGAUCUGCCCUCUUCAUUGAUCUGCCCUUUGGGGAACAUGACCUGUAUAAUCUAUUUUAUGAACCUAUUUAUGCCUAGUGAUUAUGAUCGAAAUGAAUCAAAAUAUCUUAGCUAAAUGUGUAUGCAUGAAUGCAAAAUGAAAAUGAUCUUUCAAUGUUUGAGUUGUUAUUGCCCAUUGCUCAAUAAGGCUUUAUUGCCAACACGUCAGAAUGCUAUCUUGUCUGGUUGGUAAUGCUCAUCUCUUACUUGAUCGGAUUGCUCCCACUGUAAUCUUUAAUGUUCAAUUCGCUGGGAUUGUCAAGGUUGAGCCCACUGUAAUUUUGGGACAUAAAAUUCAAAACCAUCUUCCUCCUAUUGUAAUUUAGGAGUAUAAAAUAUGGCUCUUUCUAAAUCCUCUCCCAUUGCAAUUCAGGGAUACAGGAUCUGAAUCUCCUUGGUCACCUACACCAUUCCCAGGGUGUCAUACCAAAUGCCUAUACAUCAAUGAAGAAUUUUCUUCUCCCAGAAGACCUUUUCUUAUUUCUUGGUGAACAUCGCUUGUUUGUUCAUUGAAGCUCUGUCCUCUUGUCAUUUUGUUCCAUCAAUGUUUGGACAAAAAAAUCCGAAAGGAUAGUCUUUAAAUUAGACCCUUCCUUCUUAGAUAUUUCACCCUUUAAACUUGGUGUUUUCUAAACAAUAGUCCUGUUUCAGGUUCUUAUAUUAUUUAGAAACUUCUAAAAUAAUAUGCAAAACUUCCAUUGUGAAAGUAUUAUUAGUCCAUUAAUCAUUAUUCCAAUGCAACAUGCUUACAAAAAGAUCAUAGCCAUGGAUAAUAAUAGAAUUGAUUCGGGAGCAUAGCUCGAAAUGAAUAAAUUAUUAAGAAUAAAAGAGGAAUUGAAUGGGAACACGUAUCUUGAAAAAGAAAGAAGUAUUCCAAGAAUAACAAAUUCAAUAUAUAGAUAGUAUAAAGGUUAGGUGCCCUAGAUAUCGCAGCUUGAACUUCUCUGUACAAACUUUUUGAAUGCCUUUCUGAGUUUGACAUGUGUUUAGGAGAUCUUCAGGACUUUGUCGACGCCCCAAGAUGUUGCUUACCCUUUCCUGUUAAUUCAGGUAUAGCAAGAUCAUCACAUGCCCUAACCUAAUUAGAAUUUGAGCUGCUUUGAUCACCUCAUGCCCCAAUUUGAUCCAAAAUUUAAGUCGCCCUUUUCGGGUUUUCAACUCAAGUCCCAUUUGGUCUCAAGGCGCCCUUUGCAGGUUUUCACCUUGGCCUUUCCUUUUUCUUUUUCUUUUUUCUUUUUCAUUUCUCUUCUUCUUCUUUUCUUCUUUUUCUUUCUUUUUCUUUUUCUUUUUUUGGUAUGUUUUUAUUGAAUCUUAACUUAUAGGAUUAGGCAUGUCCUUGUUAUCCCUUCCAAUCAAGAUUGACGCUUUUUCAGAUAAGGCCUUCCCCAUAAGGUUCUUCCCAGCUUGGUAUGAAGUUCUUUUUUUAUGGGAAGGAUCUUCUUCAAUAUCAGGUCCCCUCUCAUGGAAUUCUCUAGGGCGAAAUUUUUUGUGAGCUCGCAUCAUUUGCUUUUGGCGCAUUUGACCAUGAUGGAUAAAUUUGAACAUUCCUCUUCGAUUGGGAUUUGCUCCAAAAACUCAGAGAGAAAGAAUCUUAUCUUCAAUAGGCAAAAUCGCGAUAGGCCCAAAGGCAAGGCAUUGCCCCGGUAGAGGUUUUUUUUUGCCUCUAAUACACUAUUCACUUUGGGGCGAAAUGAUGUUUAUCUUGAACAGACUGCCAACUUCUGAUAUCAUGCUCUUGUUCAAAUUUGAUGCAUUGUCAGAUAUGAUCCUUUUUGACAUUCCACACUGGCAUAUGAUUUUUCAAGGAUUUGCUGACUAUCGACUUCGUGACACUGGCAUAUAAAGCGACUUUUACCCACGAAGAUAAAUCGAUGACCGCCAGAAUCUUUUUGGUGAGAUUGACUCAAUGACCUUCAUGCCCCACAUAGGGAGAAGUUGUUGAUUCCAAUGAUUCUUUUAUAGGGUAGGAUCUAUUUUUCAUCUUGUUCUACCAUCCUCAAUAAGUCUGGAGGUAGGCUACAAUCUAUGUCAUCUUCAAAGUCGUGAGAUCCCUCUAAACACAUGUCUCGCUCAAAAGGAGAUUCUGAGUCUGUAGCAGCGUCACUCAUGUCGUUGAUAUAUGGGGACCUAUUGUAGGUACAAGAGAAUAUACAAAGAAUGUAUGAUUUUAAGAAUAAUUAUCUGUAUAGUAUGAUUAUGAAUGAAUGAAAGAAUGAUUUGGAAGAAAGAAUGAAAGAAUAAAAAUAAUUAUUCAUAAAUAAUGAAAGAAUAUUGGCUCAAAAAUGAUCGCAAAGAUAUAUUUCAUUAAAAUAACGACGUUCAGACAUGAGCCUAUUUCACAAAAGAGUUCUUGUUGCCUUUAAGCUGAAAGCAACAAGUGUGUUCUGAAUAUUACUCUAAGUAGGCUCUAAAUACUACAGGGUCUCUUCUGCUAUCCCAUUAUUUAGAACACUCCUAGGCUUAUAAGGGCGACUAUCUAAUAAGAUCUCUUCUUCAGUUGUUUCUUCGUAUACGUCACUGAUGUGAACAUUUCCCAACGUUUCUUCAUUCAUCGCAUUCCCCCCAUUAUCCAUAUGAUUGAAUAGCGGGUUUUCUGUACUGAGUGAAUCCUCAAAUUUGAUAAUGCCCAUAUUGAUAAGCCUUUCAACCACUUUUUUAAAGGCAAUGCAAUUUUCUAUGGAAUGUCCCGUAAUUCCUGCAUGAUAAUCGCAUUAUGCAUUCGCGUCGUACCAUUUGGGGUACGGAGGUUGUGGGGGUUUUGAGUAGAAAGGGGCAACAAUAUGUGCAUCGAAUAAGCUUUGAUACAGGUCCUUAUAUGACAUCGAAAUUGGCAUGAACUGAAGCUUCUUAGUGUUUUAUCUUGUUCCGGAUUCUUGUCUUGGAGGAAUCUGAUAGCCAGUAGCAACCGUCCUUGGCUGGCCUGCGGUAAUCAGCUUUGAAUAACCCUCAUUAUACCUACCCGUAUUAUUCACCUCGUUUUUCCUCUUUCUCGGGACCUUUGAAGUAUUGUUUUGGGAGUUCCACUUUUGCCCUUUCUGUUUGUAGCGAUCUUCAAAUUGUUUUGAGAACUCUACCCUUGCCUGUUUUGUUUCUGCUAGAUCAUCAAGGACAACAGGAUUAGUUAGAUUGCCCCUCAGAUUGGAACCUGAACUUGUCGCGAAAUUCACCGGUGUCGAGGUAUUAGUCUGGUAUUGUGGUCGCAUGUUAACAGUUACCCCUUGUGGAUAUGUGUUUGGUUGUGCUUGGAUGUUUGUCGAGGUAAGGUCUAGAAGAUAUGCAGGACCUUCAUUAUCAUUCCCAAAGUGGACCACUGGGUUUUUUCCUUUUUCUAACCUCAUAUCCAAUAACUGGGUUAACUGGCUCAUCAGAUUUCUUUGGACUUCUAGCAUCUGAUCCUUCAUAUCUUGCUGAAAUUUGGCCAAUUGCUCUACCAUCUGUAUUUGCAUCUGCUCUAAUCUCUCCAACCUUUGGUCCAUUUCUUUAGUUUCUAUUCGGGUACCGCAAGAAUGUUGGUUUUUCAGAUUUGCUGAAAUAAUUUUACUCAAUUAGGGUCUUUUAAUGGUCGAUAAUGCAUAUGAUGUCAUGUAAUGCAAAUGCAUGAAUGCAAAAAGAGACGUUGAUUCUUGGUUCAAUUCUAUGAGAACAACUUUACUACAAAACAAAUCUCUUUACAUAAAGCAGAUAUAUAUACGACUUUACCCUCAUAGGCGGAGACAUUCGAUCCUCUUCUUCAUUCAAGCGUUAAGAUAAAUCUCACGAACUCUUUUAAAAUAGACGCCUUUUCUAUCUCCUUUUUGCUUGAUCCGGACCGCGACUCGUUAAUCAUUCAUCCUCGUGAUGCUCGUUGGCUUCUCUUUAAGAAAGUUCAGCGGCUCUCAAAUAAUCUUUGUCAUCUUGAAUUCUCGGGCAACGGAGUAAUGGUCGUGUAGUCCUCCAUUAAACUAUCAUCCUUCUCUUAUCACGUUUUCUUGGAACAUAUUCGGACAACCAUAUUAUUAUCCACUUUAUCAAGAAACUCAUUUCCUUAGGACAAGCUUUCUAUUUAACAAUCGAACGUGAAUCAACACCUCUUUUUAUGAUGAAAAUGCAAUGCAACCAUAACAAAAAAAAAUAGGUUAGUAUAAAGCAAAAGCAAGCAAGAAUAAAUAGAACAUCUAUUCGGGCGACCACUAGGGGUUUGAAGUGGUUCUACCUAGGGUAGGCUCUUAGGUUCACUACAUGCGGUUCGGCUCUAAAGCAAAGGUACCCGAACCAGCAGAUUCCUCGAUCCUCACCCAUUAUAGGCUCAUACAGACCGAGUUCAGUUCAGGGGAAUAUAUUUCCCUAUAGCUGCACGGAGAUGAAAAUCUCACGAAGACAUAGGUACAGAUGUAUCCCGAAAGUGAUCCGCUAUCCUGCACGGAGGUGAAAACCUCACGAAGGAGUAGCAUCUCACUCCCACUUAAAAAGGUGUGACCAACGGUCAUGCAAUGCAAUGUGCAGAAAUAUAUCAAAACUUAAACCAACAUUACAAUUAUAAAACCACAAUGAUGAAGAUUGUAAUAAAGACAAAUGAAAUGCAAUGAAAGGAUCGUAAAUUUAAAUCAAUUUCUCGAUUUUUGAUAAAAAGACAAAAAGUAAUAAACACGUGGCUUGACUCUCUUUUUAAGUCCCCAGUGGAGUCGCCAAGCUGUUGACAUCAUUUUUUUGAUGAAAACAGGGUCGACUUGGAUUUUGAAAAUGGGAAUGAAAAAACGGGAGUCGCCACCAAUCCUUUUUGAUAAGGUGUGAUCGGGUCACCUUGAAAAGUGGUUGUUUUUCAUAAACGAUUUGAUUUUAUUAAAACAACGAUUUUGUUCCACAAAAUUCAGAAAAAUAGGUUCGGGAUUCGGUUACACACGAGGAAGGAUUAGCACCCUCGAUACGCCCAAGAUUGGUACCUAGUUGAUUACUUAAUGUCUUAGUGUCGAAAAACUGAAAACUUUAAAGAGAUUUAAAAUACGAUCCUAAAAAAAAACCUUGAAUGACAUGGAUUAAAAUUUAAGAGGAUAUUUGGCUAUAUGGUUAAACGAGAAAUCGAAACCCAGCACAUUAGGGCACAUUUCCUCGAAUUUCCAACCGCAAAAUAUUGUCUUAUUUCGAAAUUUUAAAAGGAUAUUUAUCUAUUUGGUUGAACGAGAAAAAUCGAAACUCAGCACAUUAGGGCACGUUUCCUCGAAUUUCCAAACGCAAAAUAUUGCGUUUAUUAUUUUUUAGAAAAAUCUUCAUCUUGAGAAAAUGACGUGUCAUAUCCAAUGCGUUAGGACACAACGCAUCGAAUUCCCAAUACGAGNNNNNNNNNNNNNNNNNNNNNNNNNNNNNNNNNNNNNNNNNNNNNNNNNNNNNNNNNNNNNNNNNNNNNNNNNNNNNNNNNNNNNNNNNNNNNNNNNNNNUUAUCUCGGGUUUAGUAAAGGGAUCAUACCUAGUAAGUUAGGACACGAUCUUUUAUAAAUCCCGAGAUCGUUGAAAAUUUGAGUUUGAAAAGAUUCACGUAUUUAGAUUUAUUGUGAAAAUCGAAACCAGUAAGUUAGGGUAUGACUUUCUCAAAUCUAAACACGAAAUUUUGUUUAUUCAGAAGUCAUGAUUCAUACAUUAAAUGGAAUAAUUUAACACGAAAUAGUAGAAAUAAGAUACAAUGUUAAUAUGCGUAACUAAACAAAGAUGAAUACAAUGAUGUAAAAAUAAUACGAGUAAUAGCAACGAAAAUAAGAUAAAUAAAAAGUAAAAAUCAAUAACAUACGAAAUAACAAUGUAUACAAACAAAUAAAAUUAAAGCAUUCCUUCAAAUCAAUGAUGAAAAUGAAAUAAAUAAAUAAAUGAAUAAAAUUAUAAAAAAGAAUAUAUACGCAAGCAUACAUCAAAAUUUGAAAAUAAAAAAAUAUAUGUACAAGUAAAUAAUGAUAAUUUAUAUAUAUGUUUAAAAUAUAUUAUAAUAUGGAUGUAAAUAUGUAUAUACAAAUUAGAAAAUAUAAAAAUACAUACAAGUACGUACAAAUAAAUAUAUAUACUUAUAAAAAUUUAGAAAAUAUGUAUAUAGAUAUGAAUAAAAAAAAUGAGCGUUUAUGUAGAUAUUAAAUAAGUUAGAAAAAAUAUGCAUACAUGUAUAUUUAUAUAAGCUAUUAUAUAAUAAUAAUAAUAAUAAUAAUAUGAUAAGACAUAUAUAUCUAAAAUUUACAUAAGUAAAUAUAAAUAGAAAUAUAAUGAUAAUAACAAUAACAUUAAUACUGAUAAUAAUAAUAGUAAUAAUAAUAAUAAUAAUAAUAAUAAUAAUAAUGAACAAAAUAAUAAAAUUGCUAAAAAUACUAAAUCAAAGUAAAACAAAAAUUCUGGGCGAAUUUGAAAUAAAAAAGACGAAAAGAACCAAAUUGCAACGCGCGCAAAAAAGGGAGGACCGAAACAGUAAAAUAACCAAAGUCCAAAACGCGGCGCUUCAGUGGACCAAAUUGAAACCAAAAUAAAACUGCGUGGCUGAAUUAAAAUAAGGGAAAAUAACUAAAAAGGGCCAAAUUGCAACGAGUUACAAAGUCGGAAGGACUGCGCGCGCAAAUAUCCCCAUUAAAGAAAACACGGGGAUCCUCCCCUAGAGUCGGGUCACUGCGCAGAUCAGGGGCCUCAAAACGACGCCGUUUUGUACUCUUUAUAAAAACCAAAUUUUUUUUAAAAUUUUCAUUUUUCUCUUCUCCUCCAGAAAAAAAACAAAAAAUUUCCUCUCAAGUCUCUCUCUCCCUCCCUCUCAGCCCAGAAUCUGGCGAGAAGAGCCAUCGUCGAGCUGUCGCGCCUGUCGCGCCAGCCACCGUACACGGUGGCCAGAAAAUUCAAAAAAAGUAUUUUUUUUGCUCUUUUUUUUUACUUCUAUAUGUUAUAUAUAUAUGAAUAAUAAAAAAAUAAAAAUAAAAAAGGUUAAAACAUCUAAUAAAACAGAAAUAAUACAAUAAAAAAAGCCAGAAAUCACCUUGGAACUUAGUUUUUUCUUUUUAUUGAUAUAUGUUUUUUUACAAAAACUGAAGAAGAGAGCCCCCCUUUUACAAGUGAUUUUUUAUGGCUUUAUAGCCAAUAUUUUUGUCUUUUUUUUUAUUUGUCAUUUCUUUCUCUGAUUUUGCAGGCAAGUGGUGAUGGUGAUAGAGCAAGUGGGCUGCGGUGGUGGCAGUGGCGUGCGUCACUUGUGCUGAUGGAGGUGGGUUCGGGCUAGAAGACCCUAGGUGGGUUUGAAAAUUUUGUUCUUUUGUGUUGUGGUUUGGGAUUUUGGGCUAGGGUUAGGUUAGUGGGCCAUUCGGGUUUUGGGCUUGGUUUGUAUUUGGGUUAGGCUGUUGGGUUUAUUUUGGGCUGUUAUUGGGCUAUUCGGGUUUGGGUAGGUUUAGUUUGGGAUUUACUUGUUUUGGGUUUUGGGCCCGGGCUAAAAUUGGGCUUUGUACAACCGUUCUUGCAUAUCCUUUUGCAUUUGCUCCAAUUUCUCUAAUCUUUGAUCGAUUUCCUUAGUUUGCGACGAGUACCAUAAAGAUGUUUGGUUAGUUGGUUUUCCAGAUUAGCUGAAACAAAUUUACUCAAUUAGACUCUUUCAAUAGGCUUUAAUGCAUGUAAUGCAAUGCAGAUACAUGAAGUGAAUGCCUAAAGAGAUGUUAAUUCUGAUUCAAUUACAUUUAGAAAACUUUAUUAGAAAGCAAAUUCCUUUACAUAAAGCAGAGGCAUGUACAGCUUCGCCCUUAUAUUCCAAGAGACAACAUCGAUCUUUUUCUUCAUCCGCAUGUUUGUGAUAAUCUUGCCAAUUUCCAAUAGAUGCCACUGCUAGCUCUUUUUCUUGAUCUGGGUCACGGUCCCUCAUCUGCCCAUCUUCAUAGAGCUCGCCAGCUUCUUUAAGGGAGUUGAAACGUCGAAGGCUCUUGGACAAUCGUCUCGAAUCUUUAGGCCACGAAGUAAAGGUCACGAACUCUUUCAUCGCCCUUCUUGUGUUUCUCAGAAUAUAUUCAGGCAACCGUAUUGUUUUCCACUUUAGCAAGGAAUCCAUAUUCCAUGACAAGCUUUCUAAUUUAGUAAUCGGAUUUGAAUCAAUAUAUCUUUCCUAAGAUGCAAAUGCAAUGCAAUCAUAACACAACAAAAGGGGUUAGUUCAAAAUAGAAGCAAACAAGGAAAACAAAAGUACCUAGUCGGGUACCACUAGGGGUUUGGAGUGGCUCUACCUAGGAUGGGUUCCUAAGGUCUUCUACAUGCGGUUUGGCUCUAAAGUUAAGGUACCCGAACCAGCAGAUUUCUCGAUCUUCACCCAUCAUAGCUCAUACAGACCGAGUUCGGUUCAGGGGAAUACAUUUCCCUAUGGCUGCACGGAGAUGAAAAUCUCACGAAGACAUAGGUACGGAUGUAUCCCAAAAGAGAUCCACUAUCCUGCACAGAGGUGAAAACCUCACGAAGGAGUAGCUUCUCACUUCCACUUAAAAGGGUAAGACUAAAUAGUAUUUAUGCAAUAUGAUGCCAAGGUAUAAAAACACAAUUUACAAUAAUCACACAAACACAUGCAAAGAGAGGAUCGUAAAAAUUUUUCAAAUCAAAUUUUAAAUUUUCAAUAAUAAGAAAAAAAAAUCAAUUUUGCGGCUUGACUCUCUUACGUCCCCAGUGGAGUCGCCAAGCUGUCGAAACCAAUUUUAAAUUUUUGAAAAACAAAAAUUUUUAGUAGUCGACUUAAAAAUGAAAAUUAGGAGUCGUCACCGAUCUUUUAUUAAGGUGUGAUCGGAUCACCUUGAAAAUACUUUUAAGUCUGCGAGUUUUGAUAAAAUAGGUUCGGGAGUCGGUUACGUACGAGGAAGGGUUAGCACCCUCGUAACGCCCAAAAUUGGUACCGAAUGGAUUGUUUAAUGUUUUAGUGUCGAGAAUUUGAAAAGGUUUUAAAAUACGAUCCUUUGAAAAGAGAAUUUGAAUGAAAUAAAUUGGAUGAUAAGACGCACUUAUUUCGCAGAAAUAAAUUGCCACACUCAGUGAGUUAGGGUGCAACAAUUUAAUCUUCGAAAUUAAAUUACCCCUUUUUUUAGAAAAUCAUGUGUUUUAAGUAGGUUAUUCGAUUAUUUAAGUCAAUCGAGAAAUCAAAAUCUGAUAAGUUAAGGUUCAAUUUCUCGAAAUUCCUAAACAUCAAACAUUGCCUUUUAUUUUAAAAUCGAGAUAACAAAAUGUUGUAUCCAGUAAGUUAGGAUCCAACAUUUUGAAGUCUCAAAAGCUUUAUUUAAAAGUUGAAUGGUUUUACCAAAAUAAACACUUGGCUAUUCAAAUUCAUCGAGAAGAAUUGAAGCCCAGUUAGUUAGGGCACAAUUCUCUCGAGAGCUAUGAACACCAGGUCCUUUCGGAAAUUAUGCAAUAGAAUGAUUGUUGUGCUUUAAAAAUGCAAUCUUACAAAUGGAAACAUGAUUGAGUAGCAAUACAUAGAAGAUAAAUAGCAGGAAUAAUUUUAAUCACAUUAUACAAAUACCAAUAUAAAUAAUUGAAAGUUAAAUGAAUUAGCAAUCAAUUUCAAAAGACACAUUAAGGUAAAAAAAAAUAAAGACCUAAAAAUAUUAUCUCUACAAUGGUUUCUUUUUGUUUUAAAGGAAUAGCAAUAUGUAUGCGCUUGGAAAUGGAUUUAAAAUAAAAUUAAGAAUAAUGUUAAAUAAAGUAAAUUUAUUUGAAUGAAAUUUGAAAUGAAGAUUAAAAGAUGUAUAAGCAUGGAUUUAGAAUAAACAUUUGAUAAACAUAUCGUAAAUAAUAAUAUGUAAUAAUAUACAUUGGAAUGAAUGCAAAAUUGGAAUAUUUUGAAUAAGUAGAAUAUAUAUUGGUACAAAAGAGUAUAAUUUAAAAUCAUUGAUAGAUUAUACAAAAUAAAUUAUUAUAAAAAUAAUAUGAUACAAUACGAAUACAUAAAAAAAUUAAUGUAUCGUAAUAAAACAACUUUUUAGCAAUAAUAUAUAACAAAUAAAAAACAAAUGUAUGAUAGUAAAAUUUAAAAUACUAAAGCAAUAAAUUUAAUAUACAAAUAGAAAUACAUAAACCAAAUUGAGUAUUAUCUACAAAAGUUUUGAAAUCAUGUAAUAUAAUAAUAAAUAUGAAAAGAGAUAAAUAACAGAUAUAACUAAUAUAAAAACAUAUGAAUACUAGUAAAUACUAAAAAAAUUAUAAAAUUAAACAGAAUACUAAAAAUAAUAGUAAACAUAACAAAAAAGAUUUAAAUUAAAAUGUAGAUAUUUGAAGGUUUAAAUUUGCAAUUGAUUCAAAACCAAGGGACUAAAGCAGCAAUUAAACGCAUGGAUUUGGGCAUUCAAAAUCAAACAUGGGAAACGACAUCGUUUGAACGUGGAUCCAUUUGGAAUCGAGACCAAAUGUGCGAUGCAAAUUAAAAAAAUAAUGAAAAUCAAAUUGAAACAACACAAAACGCAGAGGGGCUCAUUGCGCAAAAAUCCCAUCAGUCCCAAAACGCGCUGGUCAUAGCCACCUCUAGGUCGGGUCAUCGGGUAUGGGCCAAUACGGCGCCGUUUUGGAGCCACUGAUCAGACUCCAAACGACGUCGUUUCAUACAUCACGUAAGGGCCAAAAAGAAAACCCUAAUCUGGUAGCCACCGCUUCAUUUUUCAAAAUGAAAAGAAAAAAAAAGAUAAAUAAAAGAAAAAAAAGAAAGAGCCCAAAUGCUCACCUCUUUAUGCCGCUUCAACACCAAAAGACAGUGGCCUUCCGAACCCCAUGCACGACUCCGAUUGCGAUGGAGAGAGCACAAGGCCGGUCACCAGGUAUGCUCACUCUCUCUAAACCCUCCCUUUUUUGUUAAGAAUCAAACGUCCAAACACAAAGGAAAGAAAAAGAAACUUAAAAAAAAAACAGAACCAAAAACCGGAGCAAAAUUUGAAUCACCUUUUCUAUUUUUUUGAAAUUUCUCUGAGUUUUUUUUUUUGUAUUUCAUAUGCGUAUGUGUUCUUUACAAAUUGAAAAAUUGCUUUUAUAUAGCCGAAUCGAAAAGAAAAAUAAAUCAAAAAUACGUCAUUUUUCUCUGCCCUCUUUUCCUGCUUCUUUGUGUGCUGUGGGUUCUUGCAGGUGUACGAAGCCGUACAGUGACGUGGCAUGGUGCAGAGACCAGCUGGAGGCGCGUGGCGUGGAGCGCGUAGAGAGGAAGCUACUUUUGCGGCGGCUAGAGGGCAGUGAUGCUAGGGUUUCCCCUUCUGUUGUAAUCGGGUUUGGGCUAGGCUAAUUUGGGCUUUAGGGUUUUAAUUCUUAUUGGGCCAUUCGGGCCAUUGUAAUUUUGGGUUUAAAUUUUCUGUAAAUGGACUGUUUUUGGUUUUUAUCAUUUGGGUUUGUUUUACUGGUAUGGGCCCAGGCAAAAAUGGGCUCUUACACAAUCAGUUGGAAAGUCACUUUGCAAACUAGGAAAGUCACUUUGCAAACUAAGGCUUAGAAAAAAACUAUUUGGUUAAAAGGACUCUUUGGUGAACUCAGUAAAGACCUUCAGAUCAGUACAGUGUUUUGUGAUAGUCAGGGUGCCAUCUUCCUUACAAAGGAUGAAAUGUUUCAUGAGAGAAUAAAGCACACUGAUGUUCGGUAUCAUUUUUUGCAUUAUAUUAUUACUUGUGGAGAUAUUGUUGUGAGCAAAGUUAAUGCUCAUGGAAAUCCUGCAGAUAUGAUGACUAAGUCACUUCUUAUAACCAAGUUUGAGCAUUGCUUAGACUUGGUUGGUAUUCAUUGUUGAAGAACACCCCUUAAGAGGUUUCGUGGAAGAGAUUGAGAACUUGUUCGUUGAGAAUUUGUGUCGAGCUGGAGAUUGUUAGAGUUGAGUGACUUGAAUCCUUGUUAAAAUAAAAUAUAGUGGUAAAAUAAAAUAAAAGUAAAAUCCAUAUAGAACUAUAUUUCUUUUAUUUUAUCUUGAUUAGAAUAAGGUUUUUCAACCUAUAAAUAGAUGUAGUCUAAACUCCUCUUGUAUCAUUCGAAUUUGAUAUUAGUGAAUUUUCUUCUCUUCUGCCUGUGGUUUUUCUCAAAAAGGUUUUCCACGUAAAAUUUGUGUGCUUUAUUUUUCUUUUUCUUAUUACUUUGUGAUUGUUCUAUAUUGUCAUUAAUUCUACAGGACUGAUCGCAUUGGCUUGUUACAUCCAAUUUUAAUCACAUUGAUCGACAAAUUACAUACCGACUAGUGCAUGAAUAAUAUUAAAUUUUUAAAUUCAUUAUUUUUUAUCUUUUAUAGCAAUAAAUAAAAAAAUAAACUUUAACUUUUAAGAUUCACCAACUAUAAACUUCAAAUUUUAAAGUAAAAAAAUUAAUAAAUAAAAAAAUUUAUAUAAUAAACAAGAAAAGGCAAAAUAAAAUAAAAUAAAAUAAAAUCCCUAAAAGUUUCAUCAACGCAGCUUCUUGUGUAUGUUUUCAUCGAACUUUCAUAUUAUAUGUUUAAUAUAAGAUGAUUUUAUUGCGGAUAAUUGUGUUGUUUAAUGUAUGAGAUAAUUUUUUUCUUUGUUUAUUUUAUUGGUGAAGUUUAUUGAUAAUUUUUUUAUAUAAUUAAUGAAUUUUUUAAUAAAUUCAUUUAAUCUCAUUCAUUUAAUAUUCAUAAAUAUUAAAUUUAUUAAAUAUAUAUAAAUAUCGAAAAAUUCAAAAUGAUAUAUCAAAAUAAAUUAGCUCCAAUACAAAAGUGAUACACUCACCGAUACUAAUUAUCUUUUUUAGGAUUAUGUUCUUAACAUUUGAAAGGUAGUUGAUGUUAGAGUUUGUUGGACAUUAAUGUACAUCUCCAAGUAAACCUUGUGCAGGUCUAAUUGAAACCAUAUUUUUUUUACAAUAGAUUGAAAUCAGGUCAUUACAUGUUUUGAGACAUGGCUUUCAAUGUCUCGAGGCACACCACUAAAUUUUAUUAAAUCGAGUUGGAUUUAAAACCUGAUUUCAUUUAUGGUCGCUGUAUAAACUCAAAAUAGUUAAAUGAGUGCAAUCGACAUUUAUUAAACAUGUUAUUGUAUAAAAUCAAUAAUGUAUGAGAUUUAUUAUAUCUAAAUGCUAAGUCACUAUUUGAAAUGUUUUGAGAUAGCUUUAGAUGCUUCGGCAACGUAAUGUGAUAUCACGCAUUUGGAUCCGACGAUUGGGUCGGGUGUGGGGUGUUACAUUUAGUAUUGUUAAUAUGAUGUAUUUAUGUGUGUAAAUUUCGUUUUACUCACAAUUCAAUCUAAUUUUUUAUUUUAAUAUCGUACAUAUUUCAUGUGUUAUUAUGAUUAAUUAGUUUCAAAUAAUAUAUUUCAUUAUUUAUUGGAUGUUAUUUUUAAACACACGUUUGUGUUCUAAAUAUGUGGCUUCCACACGCAUACGCGUGUGAUAGAGUUUCUAGUGUUAAUAAUGUUGUUAAUGGAGUUUGUAUCACAAAGUAACUUGACACCAAUUAGAAUUGAUGAGAACACCAUGAUAAACAAUUGUGUUCAGUUAAUAUUCUUAAUAUGCUGAAUUUUUAUGUUUAAAUUUUAGUUUAUUCACAAUUCAAUCUAAUAUUUGUUAUUUUAAUAUCGUAUAUAUUUCAUAUAUUAUUAAUUGCCAUACAUUUCAUUGUUUAUUGAAUCUUAUUUUUUAAUCACGCAUCUAUGUUCUAAAUACGUAAUUUCAACAUGCAAACACGUGUAAUAAAAUAUACAUACGCGUGUAAUAAGAUUUGUAAUAUAGCAUUUUGCAAAAAAUCAAAUUGAAGUUAAAAGGGAGUGAAAAGGAAUAACAAUUUAGUGUUUCAUAGUUGAAGAGUACUUUAAGAUAAAAGCUCGCCCAACAAGCAAGCUUUUUGGUUGCUUGUAGGCAGGUUCAACUUGCGGCAAACCUGUUAAUUCUAAUCCAACAUUUUUACUUAUGUAAAAUAAGAAAUAAUUGAGAAUCCUGAAAUGAUUUAAAUCUUAAAUGAUUCAAAUAAAUAAUUUAAAAUUAUUUUACAUGAAAAUUUUGAUUACGAAAUUCGAAUUAUCUAAAAUUUAAAGGUUAAAAUACAAAAUUAAUUCAAAUUUGAAAUGAUCUGAAAAUUCUUUGAGUUUAAUUGAUCCAAACUAUCUCGAUUGACAAUGCUCUUGUUAAUUGCCCCUAAUUUUUUUCAAUUAAAGUUACCUUGUGUCACAAUCAUGGUAUGACAUAUGGUAAAAAGAUUAUAAAAAAUAAAAAUUUAUAGAAUUUUAAUAAAAAUAUAAAAAUAUUCAAAAUUAGAAAAAUUAUAAAAAAAUUGUAACAUUUUAUAAAAAUCAUAAAAAAAAUUAUAAAAUGUAUCAAAAAGGUUCUUUAACCAUUAACUUUAACCGUUGACCGUUAAAGUUAGCAACCCCUACUUUUUUUCUAGUUAAAGUCAUCACGUGUCACAACAUAGCGUGACAUGUGGCGAAAAAUGAAAAAAAAAUAAAAAUCGAUAAAAGUUAUAGAAAAAAUAUAAAAUGUUUCUUUUGGUACGAUAAUUUCUAUAAUUUUUUUACAAAUUUGAUAUUUCUUUACAUUUUUUACAUUUUUAAACAUUUUUUAUAAUUUUCUUACGACUUUAUAAAAUUUUAUAAAUUUUUUUUCUAUAUUUCUAUAUAUUUUAUAAUUUUUACACUUUUUAUAAAAUUUUACAGCAUUUUUAUAAUUUUUUUACCAUUUUUAUAUUUUUUUUCUAAUUUUGAAUAAAUUUUCAAUUUUCGAAUUAUAUAUUAGUGGUAAAAGACUUAAAAUUAAUAGAAAAUAAAAAUACUAAAAAUAAAUUAAGAACAAAAGAAAAUAAAUUAAUUCAUCACAAAUUCAAAAAUUAUCUCAUAUUAGUUUAGGAGGUUGACUUUGAUAAAUUAAAUCUGAAUUAUUAAAUCAAUCAACUAAUUUUUCAUCGAUUAAAUUUUUAUAUUUNNNNNNNNNNNNNNNNNNNNNNNNNNNNNNNNNNNNNNNNNNNNNNNNNNNNNNNNNNNNNNNNNNNNNNNNNNNNNNNNNNNNNNNNNNNNNNNNNNNNUCAAUUUUUUCCCUAAAUCAAAAUUUCAAUUUUAGUAUUUUUUUGUUUAAUAGAGAAUUAAAUAAAAAUUAAUAAUCAACUUUUCAAAACUCAACUUAUUAAACUAGUCCAAUCUAUUAUUUUUUGUUCUUUAAAUAUAAAAUUUAUGAUGACUUAGGUUAUUUUUUUAUUUAUUAUAAUUGUUUUUAUAUUUAUAUUAUAUUAUAUUAUAUUAAUUUUCAUAUUUCUCCAAUUAAUAAUAUGGUUUGAAAAAUUAGCUACAAAUAUAUACAAAUUAAAAAAAAAACCACUUUUAUUUUAUAAAAAAUGAGUUUCAACUAAAAAUCUAGCUACCUAAUAAAGUUACGCCACAUGUUUUUUUCUUUUAGUUGUAACUCAUUUUUUUAAUAUAAAAUAAGUGUUUUUUUCUUUUAAAUCUAGAAUAAAAUUGUAACUAAAAUUUUAAACUAUAGUCUUGUUGACAAUUCGCUGAUAGCUGACUGUUGAUUGCAGUGGUUGGUUUGACCAAUUAAUUCUAUACCAACUAAUUCUAAUAACUAUUUAUUUAAAAGUGUUUGGUAAAACUUAAUUGAUAGGUGAAAAUUUAUAUGUAUAAAAUAACAAAUAAUGGCAUAACACAAUUUAUUGUUAAGUAUUUAUUUGUCUAUAAUACUUUAGUUUUUAUUGGGUGAAAUUAUUGAAAUAAAACACUAUUACCAAAGAAUUAAAACAUCUAUUUAUAGGAAUUGAUUAGUGAAUAUUUUUGAAAUUUUAAAUAAACAAAUUUCUUAAGUUCCUUAUUUGCAGAUAUUAACCUUGUGAAAAUUGAUAAAUAUUAAUAGUGUAUCAAUAUAAUUGUAAACUAUAUUCUUAGUGAUAAUUAUGUCAUGUUCUUAGUAUCUAAAUUAGUGAUAAUUAUGUCGCACACUGAAUAAAUUUGUCAACUAGUAUAUUGUAAUUAAUAUAAAGUUGCAUAAGAAAAUCAUUUCACACAACUAAAUUGAAAAUAAAUUAAGAGUACAUAAAUAUUUAAGAAAUAUAUAUAUCCAAACAAGUAAAAACAAAUAUUCAAGAAACACGACAUUGUCAUCUAGCUGCCAUCAAACUAGUAGUGAUGUCAUUACAAACUUUUGUCACUUUAUUAGCACUCAUACGCUCAACUUCUUGAAUGGAAAUGCAUUCGGCAUCCGAAAAUGUUUCGAGAAGAAUAAAAUUCGGAUAUGCAUUUAUGACCCUAAAUGUUGGGUCAAGAAUUUUACUUAAUCUGAUGUAAUGAUGUAAUGCAAAUGGAGCACAAAUUAUUCUAUUUUGAUCUUGAGACGAAUAUAUUGGCAUUUUCGCUAAAAUCUUCCACCAUGCUUUUAAAAUGCCAAAUGCCCUCUCAAUACAACUUCUUAAGGAUGAAUGGGCUCAAUUGAAAAAUUCUCGCGGAAAUAGUGAUUUUUGUAAAUUCACGAUGGAGGUUUUUUUUUAGAUUCACGAUGGAGGUUGUUUUUUUUUUAAGAUUUAUUUUGGACUUAAGAUGUGAAAGUGAAAAUGAGAGAAUAAAUGUUAUUGAUAUCUUGGCACCCCUAUUAUGUUUGAAAGCUUGUAGCAAACGGAGUAAUUUUUGAGCAAGUAUGGUCAGAUAUGUCAUUCCACAUAUCUCAUUCUCAAUCAGUUGUUGAAAAAAGUCGUCUAUCCAAACGUUUUUUGUUUUGAAUAUUUUAGCUUAACAAGCUAUUGCAAACCUUCGUUCACUAAAUACUACAAUAAUAAAGUUUGACUAUCCAAUCCUCCAUUUAUGAUCAAAUCAACUAAAAAAAACUUAAAACUCUGUUUACCAAAUAUUCUCUAUAUUAAUCGGAGAAAUAUUAAAAAUUAACAUAAUAUAUAGACACAGUUAUAAAAUAUAAAAAAAUUAACUCAAGUAAUUGUAAAUUUGUUAUUUAUAGAAUAGGUAAAAUUAAUAGAAAAAAAAACAUUUAUAAUAAUUUAAAAAUUAACCUAAAUCAUUAUAAUGUUUUUAUUUAAAAAAUGAAUUACAAUUAAAAUGUAAAAAAUAAAAAAACGUGGCGCUAUUUUAUUUUUGGGGCAUUGUUUAGGAGCAGGGAUUUCCAUUUCCCGCAAUCCCCAUCGCAAUUAGGCAUGAAUGGAAAAUUUUUAAUUCAGAUUUUUUAUAAAUUAUAUAAGUUUAAAUUAGUAAUAAUAAAAUUAUAUUUUAACCCUUAAAAAAUAUAAAAAUUUAUUUUAAUUAUCUAAAAAUUAUAAAAAAUAGAUAAUUAAAAUGAUGAAAUUGUAUUUUAUUAUCAUAAAAAUAUAUAAUUUAAUUUUGGCUCUAAAAUUUUUUUUGACUUUUUCUACUCCCUAACUCGUAUUUCUGAAUCUACUACUGCGAAUGCCUAUAUAAACCCCCAAUGCCAUGCUUUGUUUUCCUCACUCACAACUAUUCAGAUAAAGAACUUUGUUUCAUCUACUUCAUUACUUUCGAAAUCUCUCAACAAAAAUGGCAUCUUUCAAUUGCUUUGCUUUAGCAUUCUUGAUGGCUUUGUCAUUUGCAAGCAUUGAUGUUGGGGUAGCAGCUCGUCACCUUCUGCAGCAGCCUCAAACGCCAAGUUUGUUAAAAAUAACAUUCCCACCAUUGCCAUCUUUCCCUAAACCAUCAUUCCCAAGGCCAUCCAUACCAUCAUUCCCAUCCAUACCAUCAUUCCCAAAGCCAUCCAUACCAUCAUUCCCAUCCAUACCAUCAUUCCCAAAGCCAUCCAUACCAUCAUUCCCAAGGCCUGGGGUGCUUCCUCCACUUCCUUCCAGACUUCCAAGUCGACCAAAGGCCACACUGCCCCCUCUGCCAAGCAUUCCCUCAGUCCCCCAAAUCCCAACUGCAAUUCCCUCUAUUCCUUUCUUUUCUCCACCAC
rnacentral:lncRNA from 1 species